rnacentral:lncRNA from 1 species
GGCAUUUACAAGGCAAAUUGUGAGAGAGUUAGGUUUUGGCCAUGAGCCAUGAGCAAGGGAGAUAAUCUCAACCAACAAUCACCAACUAAGAUAAUAAUAGUCCCUUUAAGAGAUUCAGGUUGAAAAGUCAAGGAAAAAAAAUAAAAAGAUACCAAUUAGAGUCCUACAAGAUAAGCCCCUGCUAAGGGGCUGUCAUGGAUGGAAAAAGAGCUGCUGGUCUAUAAUCAUUAUUUUCUAAUUUUUAUAUUGUUUAGAAUAGAACAAACAAAACAAUAAAAAUCUCUAGAGAAUAGCUAUUUAGAGUCCAAAGAGACAAGAUGCCUUGGAAUGAGAAAUAUCAUUGAUUGUGGGAACUCAAAAAUCUAAGAUUAAAGGUGUGGAAGAGUGGUGAUUGUUAAAAGACCAUACAAAAUGGAAUUCCAAUGAUACAAAUUAUUUCCUGAUAUUCUACUUCAAAACUUUUGGGGGACACAUUGAAGGAACUUUCAGACUUAGUGGAUCAAUUGUGUGCCACAUUAGAGAAAUUUUCAGACUCAUGUAUGGUAUUGCUUAAAAAAGUGCUUUUAAAGUCACUUUCUAAAAUGCACUUUCUUAAAAAAUAGUGUUUGAUAACAUUAUCUGAAAAGUGCAUCUAUAAGAAGAAAUAGUCAGACGUGCUUUUAGAAGAAGCAAGAAAACCUAGAUUUUGGCUUCUCUUUUUAUAAAAUAGAAGGAAAACCAAACAUGCUGUUUGGGGGGGGGGGAACCCCUCGGCGGUGCCCAUAUGGCUCCCCCUUGAAACUUGUAUUUAUCUUUCCCACAAUCCUUAUAUGGAAACUAAAAGUCUUAUAAGGAAAGAUUGGGGCUGAGGCAGGUUUUAAAGGGAAAGAAUAUAAUUUAUUAUUUUGAAAAGUGGGGAAGUGCUUUGUCCUCUUGCCAUGUUGCCAAUGGAUUAUAGAUAUUUAAUUUAUACUAGUUAUAUUGGACUGCUAAAGAUUUUAAAUUUGGAAUAAUUAAACUAAAAUCUAAAUUCUAAAGAUAACUAAUUUAUAAAGUUUCAAUGCAUUAUCCCUCACCUUAGUCUCAUGGUUGAGAAGUAUUACUCUUCCUCCUCUUUGAAAGUUCCUAGAGUCCAGAUACACUAAGAUAUCUUUCUUAGGAGCUUUUGGAGUCUCGUCUUCUAUAGAAGUCUUGCAACUUUUAAAUCCUUUACAAGAGAAAACCAAUCAGGGGUAUUCUUAGAUUUAAAAUUUGGAAAUUAAGCUGCUUUUUAUAGUUUAAGGAUGAAGAAACAGGCAGGGAGUUGGAAAAGUUAUUAGAGAGAGAAAGAGAGGCAAAUUUGAACGAAGACUUCCAUAAAUGGUGAUAGGCUUUAUUUUGGCAUUGAUUUCUUAAAAGAAUUUGGCUUGCCAUUUUAAAGAUAAGAUUUUUAAAUUUCUCCCUUGAAAAGGUAUCUUGUCUAGUGGAGCUCAAAAUCUAUUCCAAACUUUGUGUCUACUUUGUCUACUACUUAGAAAAAGCCCCAAGGCUUUUAUGACUGAAUCUGUGAAACAACAAUAUCUGGUAACACUUUAAAAUUUUUAUUACUAUAAUAUUAAUAAAUCAUGCAAUUUUUAUGUCUUUACUCUUUAUUUAAUCAUAAUAAUGUACUUUUACCUAUUAUACCCUAUGUGAGGUAAAAGGUUGGUAUGCAUAGUAGGGUUUGAACUAUUGUAAUUUGUAAAGUAAUUAUACCAACUUGAAGGGCAAUCAUCUUUUUGUAUACUUAUAAAAUACUUGUAGAACAAUUCAUUGGUAUAAGUAAAUGUUAGUUGGCCUUAUUAAAUUUAGAUGGUAAUUUUAUUUUAUCUAGUGCAUUGUAAUUAUCAACAGCCUACAAAUAAAAUAUUAAUAAGAGGGCAGGAUCCAUCUCAGUUAUUGAUAAGGGAUAUAUCUGAGUGAGUGGAUGAUUCUAGCAGCUGGGUCUAUUUAGAUUGUGUUUAUUAUGUUGAGAAGCAUACUUGAUAAGGAGGACUUUGUGAUCCAAAUCCCUCUAUAUAACCCAAGUGGUCAGACUCCAAAGAUGAUCUAUCAAUUCUAUCCAUCAGAAGGAUCUCAUAUCUGGAGGGGACUUGGAGCUAUUAGAUUGUGAUUAGGGAUGAAAAUGGAUCGGAUAAAUAUCCAUUUGGCUUCUGUAUCCAAAAUUUAGCAUCCAUCUAACAUUUGUAUUCAUAUUUAUAUCCAUCGUAGUAAAACAGAAAUAGAUCCGAAUACACAAAUAAUUAAUCCGUACAUGAAUAAUUGAUUUCAUUUACAAUCCUAUUUAGUCUCGUAUAACUCUUAUAAACUUCAAAGAGAAAUAAGUAGCAACAUCAACAUCUUUUAUUUGAUUUUCUUUCCAUAUAGUGAUAUCUUUAAUUUGGUGGAUUGCAUCCUUCACCAUCAGUUUUUUAAGCUAAAGUAUGUAACCUAGAAGAAUUGUGAGGAUUCACUAAAAGAGUUAGGUGAUUGAGUGGAUGUAAUUAUUUCUUUGUCGUUUUAUGUAUAAUCAUUUGUUUGUUUUAGAAAAAGUAAUAAAAAAUGGAGAGGUUCGCAUACUCAUUUUGAAUUCAUAAAACAUAGAACAAAAUAAUGUUCUAUUGAUAAGAACACCAGUGAAACAAGUAUCCAUUCCAUAUUCGAUCUGUUUCCAGUGCUGAUUGUGGUAGAGAUGUAGGGCUAAUACAUUAGAUGCCUUGGCGUUUGGGCUCUAAAUUUAUCAGCACUAAGAGGUAAUUCUAAACUUUGUUCCUGCAAAAGUUAAACAAACACAUUUUGCCAAUUGAUAAUAAUUCAAUCCUGUUAAACAUGAUGAUUCCUUUUGUCUGAAACAAUACAAAGAGAACUUUGAUAAUUCCUUUAAUUUCUUCUCUAGCUGAUAAAUAUUUUAUUAUUUAAAGUGGAUGCCAUCUUGCAGUAUUACAUAUUUAGCUGCCCCCCUCCCCCCGUGCCAAAUCCUUGCCCCACCCCUAUGCAUAACAAAAACUUCGGAUUUUUUUGGCGCUAUAUAAGCAUAACUAAGAAAAUUCACAGUUGUGUUAGGUUUUUUUUAAUAUUUAAGCAUCAAAAAAAAAAAAUCUACACAGCAUAUAACAUUACAAAGGAUGAAUAUUAAUCAGGUCAAGAGCCCCACUCAUUAAAAGGUUCUAGUUACUUUUAGAUCUUAGAAAUAAUAGUGCCUCGUACAUGAAAGAGAUGAAAAUCAUCCAAAGAAAUUACUCUAUGAUAUCCACUACCUGCCAACCCAAAUUCCAAGAUCUCACCCUCCAUCUUCCACAAGGUAUCUUAUCGAGGGAGCCAUCUUCAACCACAAGAUGAUCAUCUCCUUCUUUACCACUAUAUAGUGCUUUAAACCUCAUCCUUUUCUUUUUCUUUCUUUUUACACAUCAUUUCCCUUUUCUACCAUAGGGAAAAAAAUAAGAAGAAUCCUUCAAUCAGAUUUUCUUUUCACUCCAUAUCAAAAGGUGCUCAGUUUUCAGCUGAAAACUUUAUAGUAGAUAAGAUGCUCUCAAUCAGCUGUCUUGAAUAAAAAAAGAAACUAAGUUUCAUGACAAUGCAACUUGUGGGCAUAUUUAUCUGAGUAAUUAUGAGCACAUAAAGACAAUGUCACCUAGAAAUGUGACACAGAUGUCAAAUGUCCCAGUGUUCAUAAGAACCAGAUACGGGAUCUUUAAAAAAAAACCUAUAUUUAGAAGUGUCCAGAUAGCACUGCAUAAAAAUAAAUACUUUUCAUGCACAUAAUCCCAUCAAAAAUUCCUGUAGAUAGCCAUAAAAAAAUAUAAUAUAAGGAAUCAUACUCUGAAAUCUCUCUCGUGGCUCAAGAAGUUUAUCUGGAGCCCAACUUCACUUUUUAUUUUUUAAAGAAAAGUAUGGUGGGGACACCACCACCAGGGUUUGAACCCUCAACCUCUCCCAGCUGAGCUUAAGGCUGGUUGGCACCCACUUCACUAGUUUACAUCUUUUAUCCGGACUAGGUCCAAUCAAUUCAUCAAGGAUUCACCAGUUUACAUUUCAAAUGAAGUUCAGGACUGGUUGAACAUCCCUGAAACUCAGUGGACAACUACAGCAAGGUGCUAGCAAACUAGGUCAUAUUGCAUGUAUCUUCUCAACAUGCUGAUGCAAAAAACUAUUCAGGUUAUCAGAAGCCGCAACAAAAUGUCAGAAAAACUAAAGAUAAUAUAACAAGUACCUUGAUCACAUUUCGGUGAUAGAGAUGAGACAGAAACGUGACUUCUCUAGCAAACUGCUUUUCCAGUCGUGCAGCCAUCACUCCAUUUUCGUCAUCAUUAGGUUGCUUGAUAAUUUUCACAGCAACAGGCUGAUCCUUAUAAAUACCACGGUGUAACCUGCUAUGAGCUCCAGAGGCAAACCGAAGCCCGACGUACAGUUUGGAGAGAUCAACAGUCCAUUUCUCUGUGGUCUCCAAGGCAGUGACUCUCCCUCCUCCAUAAUCAAAAUAUCUUGCCCAAGAAGAGUCAUUCCUGCUCUUCAACUUCUCAGAGGCUUUACCUGAAGACAAAUGCUGAAGAGGACUCAGAUUAGGAGGUGAUGGGGAAGCGAACUCAUGAUGCUCAUGGGACUUAUCGGAUUUCUUCCGGCUAGGAGGUGGGGUAGAGAAUCUCUUUCGCAUGUGUCUAGCUUCUUUAAAGACAUUUGAAAUGACAGUAGUGGGAAUAGGAGAUUUUGACCUCUGCUUGGGCUUGUUCCAAUUUCUAUCAUUAGUAAUCAUACUAGAAUUGUGAGAAUCGGGAUAUAAUUCAGUCCUCCCAGAAGAGAUAGAAACCAUGUUUGAACCUGAACUGUUAGAGCUCAAACUAGUCUUCAAGUUCUCAGAGGCUCUAAUUGAAGACAAAUGCAGAAAAUCACUCAUUUUUGGAGGUGACGGUGAAGCGAACCUGCCACUCUCAGGGGUCUUAUUAGAAUUUUUCCUGCUAGGUGGUGGGCUGGAGAAUCUCUUUCCAAUCAACUUAGCUUCUUUAAAGACAUUGGAAAGGAUUGUAGUCGGAAGAGGAGAUAGUGACCUCUGCUUGGAUUUAGAGUUCUGUUUGCUACCAUCAGAAAACAAGCUAGUUUUAGGAGGCUCAUAAUCUGUUAUAGCCCUCCCAUAAGAUAUAGAAACCUUACCAGACUCCAAGCUCUUUGGAUUCGGGCCAGAAUCUCUGUCAGGAUAGAAAGAGAAAUCAGAAGAGUCUAAACCUGAGCCCUCUGGCUGCAGCUUCGAGGGAUUACUAUCUGGUCGGAGAGAUAAUGGAACUGAGGGCAAACUAGGAGCCACCACACUUGUCUUCUUUGUGUUUGGGCCCAAGCUGCGAUCCGAUCGUACCUUAGACAGCACAGAAGGAUCUGAAUUCAAGCUUUUCGCUUUUACAACCGGAUCAUUGUCGGGUUGGAAAGAGAACGGAACCGAAGACACAUUUGAAGACUCUAAAAUUGACGCCUUUGGCUUGAGCCCCCUCCCAGAAUAGAGUCGAGCCGACGAUGGAAUCGCCUGGCUAGAUGAAUCCAGAUUCGAGCUCUUCGGCUUCGAUUCCAAACUUGAACUCCUAUUUUUCGACUCUAGAUUCAAGCUCUUCGGAUUCAAUUCCAAGUCACAAUCACGAAUCGAAGGCGACCUCGAAGAAUUCCACCGGUGAUAAACGGUAUGCGAAAACUUUGCCCUCCUCACCCAAGAAGUGCACUCUUCCUCCAUUUUCUCCAAUUUCACUCAACAAUACCACCAACGAACGAUCCAAACUCCAACCCCAAUUUUUUCAAUCUAAAGAGAAUCUUAAUCAAAGAAACCUCGACGACCAGAGCAUGGAUCUCAGAAUCCCUCCAAAUCCAUCACGGAAACCCCGGCAGCAAGGCUUCUUGAACCCUACUGCCAUCCACAUCGAAUCCUACCGAGCUCCAGUCGGCCUCCCCAAUCCGAUUAAACUACUCCAUAAAUCCUACAAACAAAAAAUCAAAAAAUCAACUUUAAUAGAAGGAAAAGGGGGGAAAAAAAAGCAACACAGGUCCCAUUCAACGAACGGGUCGAUGAGACCAUCACUGUUUUCUUAUUCACCUCAUUAACAUCGAAAUCGGAUUCAAAUAUCUCCUUUUCUAGAAAAGUAGCAAAAAACACCACACAGGAACCCUUUUUAGCGUCCCGGCACGGGUUCCUCGCCAUCGAAAAAAAAAAAGCCCGGAAUUUUAUCAAACCAAAGAAGAGAGGGACAGAAUGAAGCGAUACCUGGAUUCAAAAGAAGAAGAAAAGGGACGGCGACAUAAAGAGAGAGAGAGAAAGAGAGAGAGGCGGCUCCUCCUGGCGGCCCUGCGAAACGUGGAAGAAAGACGAGAUCUUUUCUUAGAUUUGGAGGAUGGAGAGUACGGAUUUGUCCCUCCUCUUGCUCUAUUUGGAGGCGUAUAUUAUACCGUACAAAAUACGGUCCAGUCAACGGACUACUUUUAGUAAUCUCGUAACAAUAAUUGCAGCGAGUUGAUAAAGAGCACCUUCCUUUUUCUCUAAGACACCUCUCCUAGUAUCUCCAGCAUUUAAUUGGAGAAUUCAGAACAGAAUAGGGCUCAAAUACUUUGAAACUAUAUAAUUACAUCAGUUAAUUUUGCUUUAAUAUAAGACCGUGAAAAUUUAGUGUCCAUUUUGGAGCCAUAUACGUCAAACUUUCAGAUACGUAUUUGUCGUCGUCAUAUAUUAAAUAAUGUACCUAAAGAAUGGCUCAAAUACUUUCAAACCGCCGCCAAGUUCGUCAUGAAUGGUAUGCAGGUCAAAAGCCGAAGCUUCCAUAUCAUGCAUCAUUUGCUUAAAUGAGAAAUGUUUAUUUAUUUAAAAUUAUUGUCAAAUAUUCUUGACACAAACAAAGUUGCUAUUCUUCGUUCAAGCGGCCCUACAAAACUAUUUCUAUUUCAUCGCGUCACUCUCGAUUCACGCACGCGCGUGGUGAUGGAAAAAUAGACCCCGAGGGGGUCGUUUCCAUGGUAAACGAAGAACGAUGGAGUCGGAGAUAUUUAUAUUAUCUUAUAUUAUUCUUGACGAGAAAUGGGGCGGUGGAUGGGAGCAGGGCGGUUUUUUUUUGUUUGCUUUCGGUUUGUUUUGGUUUUGGUGCGGGAGGGAGGCUGGCGGUCAGCUAUGCUGCCGGGGAUUUCGCACGGGUGCGCGCACGCACGGCUACUCACUUUAUAAUUUAGAUAAUGAAAUUUUAUAUUCAUAAAAUAAAAUUAUUAUUGAAAAGAUAAUAAUUAAAUUAAUAGUAGGCUAAUAUAAUUAUUUAUUUUUUAAUAGUUCAUGAGUUUUAUAAAAAAAUUAAAUAAAGUUAUAAAUAUAAUUGGAUAGUUGUCUACCUAAAUCAAUAUCUAUUUUUUUUUAAGGAUACGAAUACGAAUACGGAUAUUAGUUGGAUACUCGAAUUUCUAUUUAUAUCCAAAUAAAUUUGGAUACGAAAACCGAUUCAAAUGAAUAUUAUCCAAUCUACUUUCAUCUGUAGGUACUGAGGUUAAAAUUGAUUGCUUGCAUCAAAGCUCUCAUGAGAUUGAGUGGGCGAUAGAUUUUUAUCUUCUAUAAUCAUUUCAAGUCAGCCAAAUAUGGUAAGCAAUAUACGUAGCUUCAAUUUUGAUGGCUAUUAGGAAAAAAUAGGAAAUGGUUAUGCGCUUCCUCAAAGGUAUUUUCUCACUUGGAAGCUCCCACCCCCAUUACCUAAAGAUCAACUUUGAUGGCAGAAGGAGGCAAUUGUGGUGGUAUGGCAUCUGUGAUUAGAGGCAUGUGUGCUUUUUUUUGUAGAGCAGAAGGAUUUCGUUUUUAUCUAGGGAUGGUGGAGGACUUAGUAGAUUUCGAGGCAACUCAUAUAUUUAAGAAGAUUGAGUGGCCUCGGAUUGAGUGGCCUGACUAGUCAUUCUGUCAACAUAUUAUGGAAAAUUUGUCUAUUGUACCUAGUUAGCUUUGGGACAUUUUGUUCUCAAACUCUUUAGAUUGUAUUUACACUAAGAUGAGACGAGACACUCAGUAUAAUAAUAAUAAUAAUAAUAAUAAUAAUAAUAAUAAUAAUAAUAAUAAUAAUAAUAAUAAUAAUAAUAAUAAUAAUAAUAAUAAUAAUAAUAAUAAUAAUAAUAAUAAUAAUAAUAAUAAUAAUAAUAAUAAUAAUAAUAAUAAUAAUAAUANNNNNNNNNNNNNNNNNNNNUAAUAAUAAUAAUAAUAAUAAUAAUAAUAAUAAUAAUAAUAAUAAUAAUUGCUCGAAAGUUAUUUGAAAGUUUAGCAACUCUCUUUCGCUUGCUAGCAAAGAUUUGAUGCACUGAUUGUUAAAGAAUUAUGUGUAACUUGAUUUUAUUUGAGAUGACGCAUAUCUAGAGUACUACGGAUUGGGUAGUGGCUUAUGUGACCAACUAUACUAAGAUUGUAUUGUAGAAUUUCGAAAAUGAUCUUCUUACUCAUUUUUUGAAUAUCUUAUUUUUUUAAUUCUCAUAAAAGUAUCCAUACAUGCAUGGCAUAGUAUUUCAGAAUUACUAAAAAAAAACCUUGAUGCACCUAACAUCUUGCGACCAGUAUGAAAGAAAAUUUGAGUGAACUCUAAACCAAACGGAAUGAAGCCAGUCACGUUGGACCUGGUUUUGAUCAGAGUAUCCUCGGACUUGGGGAUGCAAAAAUGUAGGUGGAUAAUGUUGCCAGGCGUGAGGAUUUGGCUAGAAUUUAUUUAACUCAAGAUUGGAUCCAAGAACUGAGCUGUGCUUGAAUUCAAGUCCAACAGUUUUCGACAAGAUCAAGCUUUUUUCGGUUCUUUCUGAAUUUUUGUGAUGCCAAAUCCACUUGGAGUCCAGUAGUAUAGAGUUUAUGACUCCAAGGCCCAGAGCCCCGAAUCAGGAAAAGAAAUUCAUAGGGAUAACAUAUCCACAGAUGGAAUAGAAAACCUCGUGGAAAGAGGUAAGCAAAAUUUUUAAUUUAUCUGAAACCAACAGUUCCUUAGGCUUCUUUUUGACCUUUUUGUGCCCUUUUUGCAUAGAUCAAAAACCAUUCUUACUUUUGUUUUGUUCACAUGGAUGAUAUUACAAGCACAAACACAUCCAUCACCAUUGAAACUAAGAUAAAGUACACAUGAUACACACUUUAUAUGAGAGAAGAACGUAUUUGAUGGAUAAUUAUAACUUCACUAAUCAAAAUUAUUUGAAGGAUAUUUGAUAUUCACCACAUUAAUCUCAUCAACUUCUUCCUCUCUUGAUUACUUUAGAGUGAUGAAUAUGGAGGGAUGCGAUAAUAAAGACAAUUAUUUUUUUACAAGAGAUGCAUAUAUAAAAAUAGAUAGUAGAUAUAUACACAAAAAGACCACGUGAGAGACGAUUUUGGAGGCUCAUAUUAAAGAAUACAUAGUAGGGGUGGAUAUAGACUAUGGGACCCAAUCCAUAAAAAUAUGUUUUAAUACUGGAGAUAUUUUUUUGUUGUUACGAAAUUCCUAAAAUAGGCAUAUUAAAAAGAUAAUAGUAUUACUUCAGAAGGAUAUUUUAAAGCUACUGCAUAUUAAACACUCAAUGAAAAUGGACCUAAUCAAUUCCGCCAAGGAAAACCCAAAACUAGAUUUCGACAAAUCCUACUAGAAUUUGACCCACCUUCAGCGUAGGACGCAGCUAUUUAAUUGACUACCAUUCUAUCGAAGAACAAUUUAGUCCAAACAAUCAAUAUGUGAAUAAUUUAUCACCUAUUUAAGAAAAUAUUGAGAGCAAAUCAGAAUCUCAUAUCAAUACAUAUCAUGCUAAUUGUCAAACAUGCUAACCCAACUUGACCCAAUAAAAUGAUAGUGUGAUUAGGUUAAGGUUGAGCCCAAACCGAGUCACACUUUCAGCAGGCAAUUGGCCACGUUCUCGGAUAGGGGUUGCAUCUUCCGCACGAAGGAAUGAUGCACCUUUUUCUUGCACGCAUCUACCGUUGGAUUGCGCAAUGGUGACCUCGAGAUUUGUGCAGUGUAUGACUCAAGGGUAGAGGUGAAAAUGGAUUGGAUCACAUUCGUUCGAAUCUAUUUGUAUAUCCGGAUUUAUCCGGAUAUAAAUAGAAAUUUAAGCAUCUAACUAAUAUCAAAAAUUUUGCCAAAUAUUUCAACUAUCUAAUCCAUAUCCGAAUAUCUGAUUCUAUUUGUAACUUAUUUAAUUUUAUAUGUCACUCAUAAUUUUUUUUAAAAAAUAAAUGACCAUAUUAAUAAACUAUUAACUUAAUUUAUCAUCCACUUAGUAAUAUUUUUAAUUUUAUAGUUAUAAAGUUUAAUUAUCCGAUUUAUAUACGUAUUUGUAUUUAUAUUUUUGAUAUCUGAUUUAUAUCUAUAUCUGUUUAAAAUAAAUAUAGAUAUAAAGUUUUGUUUCCAACUAAUACUCAUAUUUAUAUCUAUAUUUUCAAAUAAAAUAACUAUAAACAAGAAUAUACUAAAAUAUUUAUUCGACCUAAUUUUGAGGUGCUUUGAGAGCUGUGCUGAGCGCCAACCAAGUCGCUAAAGAAGACCGAUCAUUCCUUUGUGCAAAAGAUACAACCCGAACCCGUUCCGACCCGUUCCGAAUUCAUCCGGCUGAAAACCGAAGUAGGGUCCGGUUGUCGGGACUCCGACCCUAGAUUCUCCUCUCCGAUCUUCCCAUCCCUUCUUCUCUGUAGCUCGAUCGCCCGUUCAAUGCUCGCUUACUGUUCGAUCCAAUUCCUCACAGGCCUACCGGGCUCCUCCGUGACCCUCUCUCGCCAACCAAACCUCCUUCCCCUCCGCCCGGCUGCGUGGAAACCCUGUCCACUGACAUCAAAGGAAGUGAAGAUGGAGCUUACUCUGACGAGGCCCGACGAUUGGCACCUCCACCUUCGCGAUGGCGACCUCCUACAAGCCGUCGUGCCUCAUAGGUUCGGCUUUCUAUUUUCUCCUCCUUGAUUUUAUUAAUAGUCUCUGGAGCUGUAAUGCUUAUUCUUCGCCUAAAGAACCAGUUUGUAUUGAGUGCAGUGCCGGCCAUUUUGGAAGGGCAAUUGUGAUGCCCAAUUUGAAGCCUCCCAUCAUUACCACGGCCGCCGCUUUGGCUUACCGAGAAUCUAUACUCAAGGCGUUGCCCCCAAACAGUGGCUUCGAUCCGUUGAUGACUCUCUACCUGACUGAUAACACGAGCCCGGAGGAGAUCAAGCUUGCCAGUGAGUCAAACUAACAAUACCCUUUUUGUAUGAUUUCUGUAUUUGUUUUCGAAAACCCUAGAAGAAAAAUGAACUAGAUUGAACAACAUUUACACCACCAUGAGUGUUCUGUGGAUAAUAUUGCUCUAUCCUUUGCAUGAACUUGAUCCUGCUACAAUUAUAUGUUGACGAUCCUUUGCGUGCCUAGAGUAUGGAGCAGCAUAUUUAAUCUUGGUUAGCAUCUUUGAGAUUUCCCCCGCUUGAAGAAUCAGCAUCUUUGAAUCAAAUCAGUAACCUGGUUUGUAAUGGUGACAUACAGUAAAUUUUGUAAUUAGCAUCUUUUAGUCUUCCUAAUCUUAUCCAACGAGGAUGGAUCGGUUUGUUUUUCUGCUUUCGACUUUGUUAUGCCAUCUUGCUAUGUUAGUUUUUGUAUCAUCUUUUUGACAAUGUUGAUGUCAAUUUUUAGGAAGGAGUGGUGUGGUUUUUGCCGUAAAACUGUACCCUGCUGGAGCAACAACCAAUUCACAAGAUGGCGUUACAGAUGUUUUUGGGAAAUGUUUACCUGUCCUUGAGGAGAUGGUAGAGCAAAGUAUGCCUUUGCUGGUAGGUAAAAUCCAGACAUACAGACACCAAUUCUGGGGGUCAUGCAGAAAGAAUUAAUGCAUGUUGAAAACAUUAAUACAAAAUGUGUAGCUGAAAAACAAGGUUAUUGUAAAUGUGGUUCCAAAGCAUGCUUUUAUCAAUACCGGAACGAAAUGUUUCAGAAUCAAAUAAAAUGGGUUCACGAAUGGUAUAAAAAAAAAUUUAGGAAAAUGAAACAGCUAUACCCUGCUCUAUUUCAGUAUAUGUGAUCCAACUUUGACUGGAACUGUUUGAUAUUACCCCUUUUCAAACAAAGUCAUUUAAUUCAAGCUCAUAAUACUUAACAUAUAAAAUACAUGCAUGUAUUAUCAUUUUGUGCUGCAAUUGAGGACAUAUCAAGAUGGCCCGAUCUAUUUCAAUUUGAGUUGAAAACCACAAGAAAUAUAAUAUGGAAGGUGAUGCUUGGAUAAGUUGCACUUAAAAACUUGAUACUCAUAUUUCAAAAUCUUGCCAAAUAUUUUCUUAAAUCUCAUCAUAUAUAUGUAAAAUCAUUUAUUGCAUGUUUUUUUUUGUUUGGAUAGAUGCUGGAAUUUUAAUUUCCCCUGUUUCUGUUAUUGUUUUGACCAUUUGCAGCAAAAUUCUAGGAAAUCUUAGAUCCAUCUGAAUUCAGUGCAAUUUAUCUAUUAGAGACUUUGUAACAUUUUUGAGAGUAUUGCAAUUUUUAGCAGGGACUAACUUUUACUAAAUUGAGAUGUCACCAAGAGAUGAUGAACUUUAUGUGCUAAAUUCAGAGAUAUGCCUUCAUUUUGAUUUGUGAAUGAGAACCAGGUUGCAUUUGCAGUUUCUAAGCCAUGUACAACAGAACCAAACUUUUAAAAAAUCAUCAAAUUUUGCUCCGAGAGUUUAUAAUUAAAACUUCUGGUUGAUAUGUACUAAUGAAACUUCUGGUUGUAUUAUAAGUGUCAGAUAAAACUUAUUUUUUGAACAACUUGCAUCUUGAAUGAUUAGAGUAUGCAGAAGUUGAAAGACUGAUCUUUUUUUCUUCAUCAUUAGUGCCCCUUGGAAUUAUUAUUGUACCUCAGAGAACUAAUUCCUGCGUUUGUCAUUUCAUAUAUAUCUUUACCUACCAGAAUUGUUUGUUGGGUUUGAUGAAGCUCUGCCAUAAAGGUUUCAUUUAUCCAGUUUCCAAGUGGACAUUUUUAUAUUUCUUAUCUUUAGAGUCCUUACUGCACUUCACAGUCUCUUUCCUUCUGAUCGGUUACUUUGUUACCAUCUGCAGUGUACUAAUGAAACUGCUUUAUCUUUGUGAACUCAUUUUACAGGUUCAUGGGGAAGCUACGGAUCCAAAUGUUGACACAUUUGACCGAGAAAAAGUGUUUAUUGAAACAAUUUUAGAACCACUGGUCCAGAAGCUUCCACGACUCAAAGUUGUAAUGGAACAUAUUACUACUAUGGAUGCAGUCAGGUUUAUUGAAUCAUGCAGUGAAGGUAUCUUUUGUUACAGAAUUUCGUUUUCCAUUCUCUUUGUUUCUUUUGAGGGCUCAGUUUCUUACUAACACAUUGUAAUUCUUUAGGCCAAGUUGCUGCAACUGUGACACCACAGCAUCUUAUUCUCAAUAGAAAUUCUUUGUUUCAAGGUGGAUUGCAGCCUCACAAUUACUGCCUUCCAGUAUUGAAAAGAGAGACUCAUAGUAUGUUCAAUUGUUCCCUUUGCUAAUCCAGUCUUUCUUGUUUCUAAUAUGUAUGCAAGGACUUCAAGAACUUAUUGCUAAGAUCUAAUACAAUGAUUAUUACCAAAAUUUUCUAUUCAUCUCCAAAGUGCAAACGCCCCCAUGCCCCCACCACCACCCCUUCCCCGGCAGGAGAAAAGUAUUUUAAAAAAUAUAAGAGUGAUAUCUAGAAUAUUUUUUUAUGAUCACAAAUCUAUUUUUCUCAACUUGUAUGAAAAGCUUAAAAAAAUACUGUUGCUGUCAUGUGAAUCCCAUGGUCCAAAAUCUGUGUUUUUUUUCUUUUCCAUUUGUGAUGAUAUAGAUUCAGGUUAUAUUAUGAAUAAAUGUGACUAAAAUAAAUAGAUAUUUUAAAUAGGUAUGGGAGUCUGAAAUUCGACAUUAUUUUAUCGUGCUUUCAUCUAAAUGUGUGUGAUUACUGCUAAUGUAAACAUUAUUGAACUUUUGCAAUGAAGAAAUGCAAGAAUAAAACAAUUUAUGUUAUUAUAUUUCUCUGGUAAUUUCAAGGAAAUUAACUUAUCUUUCCUACCUUGUUCAAUAUUUUCAAAAAUUUCAGUUUAAUGCUUACAUAUUAUAAAUUGUUUUUGUAGGACAAGCUAUAGUGUCAGCUGUUACAAGUGGAAGCAUACGAUAUUUUCUGGGGACCGACAGUGCUCCCCAUGAGAGACGAAGAAAAGAAUGUCCCUGUGGAUGUGCAGGCAUAUACAAUGCUCCUGUUGCACUGGCACUUUAUGCCAAAGUAUUUGAAGAGGUAUCAAAACUUUUUGUUUGAUGAAACUCUGAAAUACAUUCUCAUUUGGUGGCAUAUGGCUCAAGCAUGGUCAAAAUGCUAUUAGAGACAACUAGACAUUGGAAGCCUUGCCAUCUUUCUGGUCUCAGAUUUGUGAGUUAUUGUUUCACUGAUGAUUCAUGUUUAGAAAGCUCCUGUAAUCCUGCAGAGUUCAACAAUAUGGACCUUUUAAUGCCUUACAAAGCCAUUUAUAAACAAGUCUUCUCUUCAUCUACCUAGUUUGGAUUCUUUACAACUUUUAUUUAUUUUCUCAUCCUGAUAUGCAUAGUAUUAAAGAUAAUGAAGAUAAUUACUAUGCAGUCUCUAGUUCUUUUUAGUGUGUAGAUACAUGAAAGGUUGAAUAGUUUUACUGAUGUUGAUGGCAUAGCUUGGCAACUGUGCUGUUGAUGAUAAAGAUAUCAGCAGAAUCGAUACAAUUUUCUUAGUUUUGUCUUGCAAAGUUAAUCUUACAAAAUCUGUUUGAUGAACAUUUUUUUGGGUGUUAUUUUGAUUAGGCUGGUGCACUUGACAAACUAGAGGCAUUUACAAGCUUCAAUGGCCCAGACUUCUAUGGUCUUCCAAGAAACGCAUCUAAGAUUGUAUUGCGGCAGAGUGCGUGGAGAGUGCCAGAAUCCUAUACAUACGCAUCCGGUGAAAUAGUACCUAUGUUUGCAGGACAGACUCUUGAAUGGCUUCCCUCGAACACCUGAAGGCAGGGACAUGGCUUUUGUUUUGUUUGAGAGGAAAUUGGAAGCCGGAACAUGUUGUAGGUUUUUGUUAUUAUUUUUAUUGCAGCAGAUCAAUUGUGGGAGACAGAAUUCUGAUUGAGCGCCUGAGUUCACUUCAUUUUUGAAGUAGAUGAUUUUUAUGAGUUAGAUUAUUUAAUUUUUUUACCUAAGUAAUUAAGCUUUCAUAUUUUCUCCUCCUCCUCCUCCUGCUCUAGACCACCAUUAGUCACCAAAUUAUUCAAAUAUGGAGGAGGAGAAGGAUGUACAAUAAGAGAAUUUACAACGAAUAAGUGAAGGAGCAAAUAAAGAAAAUUACAAGGUUAAAGGAAGAGGAAACUGCUGCUUCCAUGCGGUUCCAUAAACAUAUUUUCAUAGUUUAAAGGCAAAGAAGACUUAAAAGAACGGUAUCUUAGUGCAUCAGCAAGCAGCAGGAAGGAUCCCAUGGAUGCUCAUAAAGCUGCCGAAAUCUCCAUCAUAGUCUCCAAUUAUUUUUCUUUCUUUUCUUUCAAUAAUUAAGGUCAGCAAUUAUUUUUCUAUUUGUUGGUCCAAUUAGCUAGCUGUGUCCAAUCAUCAAUAUUGGCUAGAGAAAAAUUUUGUUUCAUACUAGAUGUUGACAUGUGCAAUAUAUAUGAGAGAGACGAAGAUGGCAAAAGAGAGAGUUGAUUGACAUGGGAUGGAUGGCUCUGAUUAGAAAGAGAAGAGAGCCAACUGAGAUGGAGCAAAUCAGUAUGAUUAAAGGGAGGAGAAACAAUAAACUGAAAUAAGAUUUGUGAUCCCAAAUUCCGAAGUUUAAUUCAAAUUUUAGUAGAGAAGAGAAAGGAAUAGAUUGAAUUUCCUUUUAUAUAUAAAAAAAAUCUAUAUAGUUUUAAAUGUAUUUUUUUCUUUUCUUCGAAGAAGAAUGGGUUGUUUCCUUUUUAUAAUAUUUUUCUUCCUUUUAUUGUGGUAUCAACAAGUGAGGAAGGCUUCAAGAGUUAUAGAUGGGGCGCUUUUGUUUUUCUUUUCUUUUUUUUAAUGGAAUUGAGGUGAGAAGGUGCUGCAAACUUGAUUUCCAAACCUUUUCUGUUGUAUGUAGAUGAUAUAUAUGUAUCGCUCUCAUUUUUGUACCACUAACAUGAUAGGAUAUGGUUGCUAUCCGACAAGUUCAUAUAGUUUACACAGUUUCCCAAACUUGCUUACUUCAUCGGCCUGCAUGCCGUAAUGGUGCUAUUGAGAAGCUCCAAAUUACCAAGAGGCUAACCAUGAAAUUUAUUGAAAUCUAAUCCCAACACCAACAGCAUGUAGCCAAAGCUUACAGAAAGUAAAUGACAUCCAAACUUUUACAACAACCAGCUAAGGCGCCAGCUUUAUUUUCCCAACCAGGACACCUGCUAAAUCAUCAAAAGGAAAGCAAUAAUUGUCACGCCCCGAACCCGAACCUAGGCCCGGGACGCGCCAGACGCCGCACACCCGCACGGCGGACCGCACGGGCGUGCAAGGCUGAAUAAUCAGACACUCAAGUCACAACAUCAGAUCACAAUAUCAAUACUAAAAAUCUAUCAUUUAUGAUAAUCAAAUCAAUAAUUCAAUUUCAAAUGUCUCAAAUAAAGUUGAUAACAUUUAUUUACAAGAUCAAUUACUUAUGACAAAAAGAAUCUAAAUCUAUCUAUGUCCAUUGUCAUAAGUCCUCUCCUCCCGAAUCCCCCAUCAAUCAUCUCCUGCAAUUAUGUCAAAAACAGGUAUGAGCUACAACAGNNNNNNNNNNNNNNNNNNNNNNNNNNNNNNNNNNNNNNNNNNNNNNNNNNNNNNNNNNNNNNNNNNNNNNNNNNNNNNNNNNNNNNNNNNNNNNNNNNNNNNNNNNNNNNNNNNNNNNNNNNNNNNNNNNNNNNCGUCUCCGAGAACACGCUGGGACAAUCUGUUUGACGGCCACUUCACACUUCUAUCGACCAGCUACACAUGCAAGGCUUGUGAAAGGCUAAAGAGGCAAAUGAUAUGCAGGUGCAAUGCUACUAGAUGCUGUGCUUUUGCGAGAGUUAAUGCUAUACAUACAGUAGGAGAAAUGCAUGGGAUUCGCUAGCAUAGAUGACAGGGUUAUAUGGGCUGCAUACCAGUAGACUCGCAGAGUUUCCAGCCUGGGAUGGCCAAUAUGUGCUAAUAUAUAUUAUAGAGCUCUUGUAACAGGUUUUUAGCUAGACAGCAACAUCAAGAGAAGGUGGUGGAACAAACCGGGAAGAGGCGAAGCAUCCUUGGGCUUAAGAUAGCCCGGGAGCUUGCACCUACAGUAGACAACACCUUCAACCGAGACGUCGUGCGUCGGCUUUGGGGGCUUGCGUGCCGGCGAUGGUGGCGGCAAUGGUGGCGGCGAGGGUGGCAGUAAUUUUCCCACAGGACCACACUUGGCAGGAGAAGGAAGAGAGCCCAGAAAAAGCACCAGAAACUGAAGCCCAAAUAGGAGUCCCCUCAACCAAGCCAUCUUCCCAGUACGAGUUCCUAAGCUCAGCUCCCAAGCCCUAAUGACCAACAUUGGAGCCACAAAGCGAGGAUUUAUAGCAGUCAGUUCUAGGUUCUCAGCCGCUCGAGUCGAUAAAAUUAAAGCCGCGUCAUAGAGUGCUCUGAAUUUAUUUAUUGUAGUAAAAGUAGGGGUUUGGGCUUAGGGUUGGAGCAUUUAAUUCACGAGAGGGUGAUCCAGAGAGAGGGAUGUGUAUCGGCCAGUUGGUGCCGGGCUGGCCAUUAACGGAAUAAGUUGGAGCCCGCCGCGCUGGACACGGAGUAGGGUGCGAGACGCGAGACUUUCCGAUCGCGAGGUGGUGAUCGGGCCGGUGCGACGUGGCCCGGUGCAACCAGGCUCGGUUGCGGGCCUUGCGGCAACCGGCCAUGUGCUUGCCUUGAGGCCUCUUCUUCUUUAUUUUUAUUUUUAGGUUAUAAAAUAAGCUAGUUUAUCCGACAAAAAGCAUGAGCACCCGGUGCAACAAGGAUAUAACAAGUUGGCUUAGUAAAUUAGACCAAGACUCGGAUACCUAGGGGCCAUCCAUUAUAUGUGUUAAUUAUGUAUAACAUAGGAAUUAACAUCUGCCAUGGUAAUUCUGCUUAGAUCCUGUUACCUUCCAUGGUAAUUUUGCUUAGUCCCGUCCCAGUAUGGCUCUUGGAUUUUCACAUUGAGAUCCAUGCUACAGGAGAGAAUCUUCUUUUGGUGCAUGCACAGAAAAUUUUUGCCCUGCAACCACUCAUUUGCAAUUCGGCACAUUAAACAACUUAGUUUCCUGAAUGAAUGCCGAAAUAAUAUAUCGAGAACCCUGAACAUGUCAUUGUAAAGCUUAUAUGCCAGAAAAACGUUGGAGUUUUAAUUAUUAACAGCAAAAUUUAAAUUUUUCUUAUCCCCUAAUCUUUAGUUGUUUUAAAUGUUGUAAAAAACUCUUUCGUAAGACGCUUCUUUCAGAAGAAUUAUGACUCUUUGAAAGAGAACGUUGACUUUCUAAAAAAUAUGGUGUUUCUUAAACAUUAUGUAUCUUCGGAAUCAUCAUAUUCAGAGUCUAUAAAUAGACUUCUCCGGGAUUAAUCGUAAUCCAAUCCAAUCUCUCUCAUUGGCAUUCUGUCUUCCGAGAGUUUCUUCACCGAUAGAGUUCUUUUAAUUUUCAACUUUCUGCUUUCUAUUUUUUCUUUUUUUUUGGAACAACUGAACGAGUCGGUCGGAUCAAGCCUCUCUAGCGGUCGUGCUCGUUAGAAAAAGAUCGGGUUGAGCCAGGUUGUUGUACUUUGGAGAUGAGAUCGCUGCAAAUCCGCACGUAGGGGGCAAAUCACGUUCUUAAGACACUGUAUAUCACACGUCUCAAUUCAAGCAAACUCUUUUCAAUCUUCAGAAUUUCUUUUAGUAAAUUAUUCUCUUAUAAAAUAAUGGUAUAGCAAUUUCUAGGCAAUAGUUUUUCAAAAUGUGAACUUGAUUGUACUAGAAAUUGAUAUAUAUAUAUAUAUAUAUAUGUGUGUGUGUGUGUGUGUGUGUGUGUUUGUCAAAAUUUAAUUUGAUCAUAGAAUUAGAUUUAGUUUAAUUGUAUAGAAAUUUAAAAGCAUUAACUUUAGUCACAAGGUUGUUUUCUUCAUAAAAAAAUAAUCUUUUAAAAAAGUUAUAUUGCUUUGAAAAUUGUGCAAAUAGAUUUCUGCAACUUUAAAAACUGUACAAAAAAUUUUCUACAUAUUUAAAAUUUUUGCAGAAUUUUUUGCAUCUUUGAAAAUAGUAAAAAAAAUUCUGCAGAUUAAAAUUUGUGUAGAAAAUUGCUACAGCUUUAAAAUCUGUGCAGAUUUUCUAAAGCAUUAACUUCUGUGCAAUCUAUUUUUCUAAUAUUUAAUUUUCGUGCAAAAUUUUUUGAAUUUGUAAAAUUUGUGCAGAAAACUCUUACACUUGUAAAAGUUGUGCAGAAAAAAGCUACUGCGGCUGAGAGAUACUUCAAGCGUUAUUUCUACUAUAAUUUUUAAAUAUGCUUCCUCUGUUAUUUCUAUUGUAAGAGAAAGAUCAUAUAAAUUGGGCACAUGCUUUCUAUUGUAAUUUGUAAAAAAAAAAAAUCAAUAAAUGGGGCAUCUAUUGUUCUUCUUGUGUUAUUUUUUUCUAAUUUUAUUUCUUUUUUUGUUAUCUAUCUUAUGCUAUUAGAAGAAGCAGAAUUUAUUGGAUAACGGAAAUUGAACUUUUUUAAAAAAAUAAGUUAGUUUUUUUUGGCCCCAAAAAAAUUAAUUAGGCUUUUUAAAUUUUUUUUAAAAAAAUAACUCUGAAUAAGCAUUGUCGAUGUUUUAAAGCUUCCGUUAUUACCGAUGCCUUUCAAAAGCGUUGGUAAAAAAAUUUUUCACUCUUACAUAGCGUUGGCACUAAAAUUAUAAGCAUCGGCAUAAGCUUUAAAAAGUGCCGAAAAAUAUAAUUUUUUUUUAGUGUAAAGAAUGUCCCUGUGGAUGUGCAGGCAUAUACAAUGCUCCUGUUGCACUGUCACUUUAUGCCAAAGUAUUUGAAGAGGUAUCAAAACUUUUUGUUUGAUGAAACUCUGAAAUACAUUCUCAUUUGGUGGCAUCUGGCUCAAGCAUGGUCAAAAUGCUAUUACAGACAACUAGACAUUGGAAGCCUUGCCAUCUUUCUGGUCUCAGAUUUGUGAGUUAUUGUUUCACUGAUGAUUCAUGUUUAGAAAGCUCCUGUAAUCCAGCAUAGUUCAACAUUAUGGACCUUUUGCUAACCUGGAAAGCCAUUUAUAAACAAGUCUCCUCUUCAUCUACCUAGUUUGGAUCCUUUACAACUUUUAUUUAUUUUCUCAUCCUCAUAUGCAUAAUAUUAAAGAUAAUGAAGAUAAUUACUAUGCAGUCUCUAGUUCUUUUUAGUGCAUAGAUAGAUGAAAGGUUGAAUAAUUUGUCUGAUAUUGAUUGCAUAGCUUGGCAACUGUGCUGUUGAUGAUAAGGAUUAUCAGCAGAAUCGAUACAAUUUUCUUAGACAUUUUUGUCUUGCAAAGUUAAUCUUACAAAAUCUGUUUAAUAAAGUUUUUUUUUGGUGUUAUUUUGAUUAGGCUGGUGCACUUGACAAACUAGAGGCAUUUACAAGCUUCAAUGGCCCAGAUUUCUAUGGUCUUCCAAGAAAGACAUCAAAGAUUGUAUUGCGGCAGAGUGCAUGGAGAGUGCCAGAAUCCUAUACAUACGCAUCCGGUGAAAUAGUACCUAUGUUUGCAGGACAGACUCUUGAAUGGCUUCCCUCGAACAGCUGAAGGCAGGGACAUGGCUUUUGUUUUGUUUGAGAGGAAAUUGGAAGCCGGAACAUGUUGUAGGUUUUUGUUAUUAUUUUAUUGCAGCUGAUCAAUUGCGGGAGACAGAAUUCGAUUGAAGGCCUGAGUUCCCUCAUAUUUGAUGUAGAUGAUUUUUAUGUGUUCAAUUAUUUUAUUUUUUUGCUAAGUAAGCCUUCAUAUUUUCUCCUUCUUCUCCUUCUUCUUCUUCUUCUUUUUGAAGAUGGAGGAAACCACCAUCAGUCAGCAACUUUAUUCAAAAAUGGAGGAGGAGAAGGAUGUGCAAUAAGAUAAUUAAUUUCCAUCGAAUAAGUGGAGCAAAUAAAGAAAAUUACAAGCAUAAAGGAAGAAGAAACUGCUGCUUCGAUGCGGUUCCAUAAACAUAUUUUCAUAGUUUAAAGGGAAAGAAGACUUAGAAGAACAGUAUCUUAGUGCAUCAGCAAGCAGCAAGAAGGAUCCCAUAGAUGCUCAUAAAGCAGCUGAAAUCUCCAUCACAGUCUCCAAUUAUUUUUCUAUCUUUUCUUUCAAUAAUUAAGGUCACCAAUUAUUUUCUAUUUGUUGGUCCAAUUAGCUGGAACCAAUUAGCUGGCUAUGUCCAAUCAUCAAUAUUGGCUAGAGGAAAAUUUAUGUUUCAUAUUAGAUGUUGACAUGUGCAAUAUAUAUGAGAGAGACGAAGAUGGCAAAAGAGAGAGUUGAUUGACAUGGGAUGGGUGGCUCUGAUUAGAAAGAGAAGAGAUCGAGCCAACUGAGAUGGAGCAAAUCAGUAUGAUUAAAGGGAGGAGAAACAAUAAGCUGGAAUACGAUUUGUAUGUGUCGCUCUCAUAUUUGUACCACUAACAUGAUAGGAUAUGGUUGCUACCCGACAAGUGGAACUGUGAAAGGUUAAACUAACCAUGCAUGAAAUUUAUGGAAAUCUAAUCCCAACACUAACAACAUGUUGCAAAAGCUAACAGAAAGUUAAUGAAAUCCAAACUUUUGUUCCUACAACAACCAGCUUUUCAGGCGCCAGCUUUAUUUUCCCAACCAGGGCACUUGCUAAAUCAUCAACAGGAAAGCAAUAAUAUUAAACACUCUUUCAAGUGUGACACAUCUUAGAGCUAGCCGGGCCGAGCUCCAAGAAGCCUGCAGAGAAGAGUGCCACGUAGCCGGACCCGGCCACCAAGUUCCUCUCAUAGUAUACAGAAGCUCCCUUCCCUUUGGGUCCAAGGAAUUCCGGCACGAUGCACGCCGGCAAUGGCGUCGACACCACGUAGACCUUGCACCACUUGGCCACAUAUCUCUUCAUCAGUUUUUCGUCGAGUAAAGGAAAUUUAGCAUCGAGCAAGAAGUAGCCUCUGGUAUCCGUCUUCCCGCUCACAGAUAGCUUGCCACAUUUUAAGUUCACCGGUGCACCUGCAACAACGAAGAGAUGAUGAUUGUUUAAGAUUAGGAAAAAAGAAUACUGUGGCCUCAUGAGGCCAUUUAUAGGGUGUAAGCAGCGUGCAUUAAGCGAGCAGUCGACGUAGGAGGGACACCUUGUUCCUGCGAGGUCUAAGCUCAAAUGCAUGGCUUUUGUUUGUUUUGGAGAUCAAUAGCAAUGGGACUGGCAUCUUUCUAAAACAAUCUCUCCGAGAACACGCUGAGACAAUGUUCUGUUUGACGGCCACUUCGCACUUUUAUCGACCAGCUAUACGUGCAAGGCUUGUGAAAGGCUAAAGAUGCAAAUGAUAUGCAGGUGCAAUGCCUUUAGAUGCUGUGCUUUUUGCAAGAGUUAAUUUUAUACAGUAGGACAAAUGCAUGGGAUUAAUUCGCUAGCACAGAUGAUAGGGUUAUAUGGGCUGUGUACCAGUAGACUCGCACAGUUUCCAGCCAGGGAUAUAGGGCCGGCCAAUAUGUACUAAUAUAUUAUAGAGCUUUUAUAACAGGUUUUUCGACAGCAACAUGAAGAGAAGGUGGCGGAACAAACCGGGAAGAGGCGAAGCAUCCUUGGGCUUAAGAUAGCCCGGGAGCUUGCAUCUACAGUAGACAACGCCUUCAACCGAGACGUUGUACGUCGGCUUUAGGGGCUUGGGUGCCGGCGAUGGUGACGGCGAGGGUGGAAAUAAUUUUCCCACAGGACCACACUUGGCAGGAGAAGGAAGACACCACAGAAAAAGCACCAGAAACUGAAGCCCAAACAGGAUUCCCCUCAACCAAGCCAUCUUCCCGGCACCAGUUCCAAGCCCUAAUGACCAAAAUUGGAGCCACCAGAGAGAGCAUUUAUAGCAGCCACUUGCUAGAUUCUCGGCUGUUCGGGUCGGUCAAAUUAAAGCGACCUCAUGGAGUGCUGUGAAUUUAUUUAUUGUAGUAAAAAUAUUGGGGUUUGGGCUUAGGAUUGAAGCAUUUAAUUCACGAGACGGUGAUGUGAUCGGCCAGUCGGUGCCCGGCUGGCCAUGCGCGGAAAUUUGGGAGCGAAUCAAAGCGUUUGGUUUUUUUAACGGAACAAGUUGGAGCCCGCCGUGCUGGACACGGAGUAGCGUGUGAGACGCGAGGCUUUCCGAUCGCGUGGUGGAAAUCGGGCCGGUGCGACGUGGCCCGAUUGCCAUACUUGUACUUGUUAAUCAUAUCGAACCCAACACUCAACCGGCCAUGUCCUUGCCUUCAGGCUUGAGCCCUUUUUCUAUUUUUAUUUUAGAUUUUUUUAUAUUAAUAUUCUUUAAAACAAUUUUAAAUUUGCAUGAAUAUUUUUUAAAAUUUAUAUUUAUUUCUGUACCCUUAUAAAAUACUAUUUUCGCACAAAUACGAUUCUUCUAACACCGUUAAUUAAAAUUUAUUUUAAUUAAAAUAAAAUAAAAUUUUAAAAUUAUUUUUUAUUUUCCAUCAUAGUCGUCUUAUAAAUAUUUUUUUGCACAUCUAUCCAUUAAGAAUAUUUUAGUUAUUUUAAUUUGAAUCUAUUAAUUUUUUAACUGUAUUAGAUGACGUGGCUACAUAUGCAAAAAUAAGGUUAAAAAGGGUAGAAUAGUAAAACAAGUGUUUUACGAGGGUAGUAUACAUUUAAAUAUCAAUUUUGGGAGAGUAUUAAUACAAAUUUCGAUAUUUAGGAGGAUAUUCAUAAAAAAAUUAUUUUUAAAUUAUAAAAUAAGUUUGUUUAUCCUAUAAAAAGCAGGAGCAGCCGGUGCACCAAGGAUAUAACAACUUGGCUUAGUAACUUAGACCAAGACUCGGAUACCUAGGGGCCAUCCAUUAUAUGUGUUAAUUAAGUAUAACAUAAGAGUAAGCAUCUGCCAUGAUAAUUCGGCUUAGAUCGUGUUACCUUCGAUGGUAAUUUUGCUCAGUUUCAUCCCAGUAUGGCUCUUGGAUUUUCACAUUGAAAUCUAUGCUACAUGCGAUGAUCUUUUUUGGUGCAUGCACUAGAGAAUUUUUACCCUACAAUUCGGCGCAUUAAAUCAUCUAUUUUUCUGAAUGAAUGCCAAAAUAAUAUAUCCAGAACAUAUCAUUGCAAAGCUUAUAUUGCCAGGAAAAGAGGUCGUUCACUUCUUCUAUAGUUGUACAAGUACAUCAAUUUUGAUUAUUUGUUGCAGAUUGGGGAGAUCACGACGACUAGAGAAGGAAAAUAUGCAGUUGAGUUGAAUUGGUACUUAUAGAGGCGUCAAAUUUGAUGAAUGUCACUUUGUUUAUGACAAGGAAGCAGUUGGUUGCUCAAGGAAGAUCCGUAGAAACAGAACUAUGGCUUAUGAUUACUUAAUUGUGAUUUUUUCUCCUCCCACUGAUAGACUUGUGCACGUUAAAAGCCGGAUGGCCUUCGAUUUGGACAUGAGUGAAUAUUUCUAAGGAACAGCAGUUUGUUUCUGUUGACUAAUCUUAAUGAGUUCAUUCAGAUAGACCGUGGAGUCUGUGACCAAUACAUAAUGGGCUACAAGCUAACUCUGUUCAUGAGAAUCUCUGCAGCUAUAAAGCAGCCAUCAAUGCAAAUGUAGAUAUACCCACUUCUCAAAUCUUGCAUUUUCGAUCUUAUGGCUUCCUAUUUGCUCAUGAAGCAGUUUGCCUUCGAUCAUUUUUUGUUCCAUGGGCCAUCAGGGAUUCACAUGACGAACUUUUGUCCUUCUUAAACCUUUCUUCUUGUGAUCAAAAGACUAGGACCAUUUCCGUGCUGUGAAAUGAUGCAAGUCUCAUCUCUCUGAAGACUCUAACUUGGAUUAUAAGGCAAACAUGGUGAUGGUUGGAAAAGGCAUCACUCUUUGCUUCUUAUUUCUAACUAGGUGCAACUUCUUUUUGGUCAUAAAGCCAUGUAGCUCACUGUGUUGCGUAUUAAAGCAUCUAAUGUGGGCAAACUAAAGCAUCCAAUGAUCGAGUGGAAAUUGGCUGGAAAGUGGAAGUCGGCAUCACAAGCAAAGGUUGACCAUUUGUCAAGUAGAGGAGAUAAGGAGAGGAUUCGGACCAGAGAAUAAUUAAAAAAUGAGGGGGCAUGUGGAGUAAAGUCUCCAUUCUAUUUUUUUGGUCACCUUUAUUUCUUUCUGGUUGUGUAAAGGGAAUUGUUAUUAUAACAUGGGAGUGAAGAUUAGUUGUUCUUGUGUUGAUGUGCUAUCCAAGUAAUUAGUAAUUCAUUAUAAUAUGAAUUGUUGUUUAAAAAUUAUUUGAAUAUAUACGGUAUCAUCUUUCAACAAAUACAUCAUUUAAAAUUAUUUGAGGGAAUAAUAUGAUGGAUGAUGAGUUUUAAACUUCAACAAUUGGCCAUGCCAAAUUCUUUGUAUGGAACGGUCUGAACAUCAUCUUAUCAUGUCAGUAAAAGGGUGUGAGUUUAAAAGUUGGUAACAUAUUAUCACAUUUAGUGAUUUUUGUAUGCUGGACCCUGCAUAAUGAAAUGAGAAAAAUUAGCAAGAUGAAACAUAGCCCAUAACCUUCUUUUGAUCAAAGGUUUCAUUAAGACCAUAACUCCUAGUAUUUUAAGCCCUUUCUAGACUGGCAUCUACCAUUAUAAUGGAAACAAUGGUUGUUAUUGGCCAUUUUGAAAUAAGCUAAUUUUAAGUUAUAUUAUAUGUAUUUUUAAAUAAAAAAUAUCAUUGAUCUAUUAAAUUAUAUUUUCUUCUAUAAUAUUAAUAUUCGAAUAUAAUAUCAACACUUUAUAUAUGAUAUGUUAUAAUAGUAUAUUUUACAUAAUUAAUAUUUAUAUUUUAAUAUAAUAUCAAAUAUUAUAUGUGAUAUUAUAAAUUAUAAAGUAAUAUUUUGUAUUAUAAUAUUAAUGUUAAAUAUUAAUAUGCUGAUAUCUUUUUUGAUAGUAUUGCAAUAAAUAUUAUAUAUUUGAUAUAAUAGAUAAUAAUAUUAUAAAAUAUUCUUAUAUAUAUUAAUUUCAAAAAUAUAUUUUAAAAGCAUGAAAUAGGCAUAAACAAUGGGCACAAGCAUAUUACAAAAUGGUUUAUAUCUGAAAAAUAGGCUGCAUAGCCUAUUUCAAAUCUAUGCCCAUUUCAUAAAUAAUGUUCGCUUAUUGCAAAUGGACAUGAAGUAGUUUAUAAUCACAUACAUUCUAUAAAUAAUAGUUUGCUGAAAUAAAAUUUCAGGAUUUAUGCUGUAACCAAACAUCAUUUAAAAGUUUAUGUAAGUGGGCACAGUGGAAGGGCAUUGAGGGUGUUAAAGGCGCCGCCCCUCUUUAUUUACUUUCGGUUGGACGCCUUGGCGAGGGGCGAGGCCUCGGGGGCACCUGCCCUGCCCUCUCAAAUGGGAGAUGUCAAAGAUCGCGCUCGCUCACACACCUUGCAUGGGAAAGGAGGGCCCCACUACCAAGUUGCUCUCUGGUCCCUAUCGAACAAAGUGGACAAAUUACUGUGUCAGGCCAAUCGAAUUGACCUCUUCAAAUACGGACUAGAAAUUUGAUUGCAAGUAGGGCUGUUCAUUUUUUUACUUUCUGGCCAUUGGCGAUGGGAUGGGAUGGGCUGGCUACAAGAUAAAUAGACCUUAGAAAUGUGUAGGGGAAAUUGGGCAAGGGGUCAAUGAUCCUGACGUGAAAGACUGGGUCGAAGUUUUCUCUUUGUUUUCUUGCAACGCAAAGACUUGGUUGUGGUCCGCUCCACAUCAAUUUCUUAAAUUCCUGGUCCAAGGGGCCUCCUUCCGUAACCUGCCCGGCCAAUGACCAAUUCGUGGCUCUAGCCAUGUCUCGCCGCUUGCAUCAUUUGCACGAAAAAAUGAUUGAUUUUUUUUUUUCCACAGCAUUAAUCAUUAGAUCGUAUCUUGUAUAGAUCUUAAAAUGUUUCAAAAUUUUUCAUUCAUACAUCUGUAUAAAUUUUAAAACGAAUUAUUGCAUGAUUCGAUGUUGAUUUAUAAAAAUAGUUGAAUCCUUCUUUCACGCAAAAGAUGCAAUCUUAGUCUUGCAGAGGAUUGACGUGGCGAGCCAAUUGAGAAUUUACAAGAGUCUAUCAAAAUAGUCAUUAGACUUUUAUAAACUUUUUUCAUGAUGAGUUUCCUACUAAUUAAUUGCUAACUAGUUCGUAUCUCUCUGCUCAGAAAAAAUCUAAGAUUCAGAUAAUGAUAUGGCCGUCGUAUUUCUCGAUGAAAAAUAAAAAUCCUGUGUAGAACUUGCAUAUAUUAGGGUUAGAAUUUGCAUAAAUGGGUUCCAUUAACCAAAAAUAAAUAAAAGAAGAAGAAAAAAAAAAGAGCGAAAACCUACUUUAACAAUCAUCAAUUAUUGAUUAGUGGGAUCCGUCUGAAAAUAAUAGAUAAUUCAAGUUUAUAGGACUAAAUAGAAAUAAAAAUUUGGAAAGGAUCCAGCUACCCUUUCAUGUUGGACCUCCUUGUUAAUGACUAGAUGGACAGCUAUGAGAUGCUUAUAUACGAUUGCGUAGCAAACAAACUAGUCCUGCGUCUCAAUCCCACAUCAAGACGUCUUGUAAAUAGAAAUCACAUGAAAUAUGUUAAAGGGAGCCUGAAGUCAGAGCAACAAGGUACAGGAGCCAUGCGAUUCCUGCUGACAUGACAUCUAGGGAUCGGUCCAAUUAAGUGCAAAUUUAUUAGGCUCAUUUCAGGCAAACCAAUCCAACCCUCAACCAGCUCAGUCCGGUCUUUUGACUGCAGUGGAGUACUCAAAUGGUUUGAUUUCUCGCAUGGAUGGAUGGUCCCACCAAACUCGAACCAGAAAGACCUUUCCCAAAUGCUAAAAGGAAGCCAAGCCAAGUGCUUGCCAUCCUCAUAAGGGGGACAUGAUGGGCUCCGAGCACGAGCCAAGUGCUUGCCAUCCUCAGCUAUUCUCCUGCCAUUACCACACACUUCACCAAGUUGACCGAGCUAUGACGCCACCUCUAAAAUUUCCACACGCAGAAGAGCAGCAUUCUCAAGCCAUUUCCAAGUUUUAGAAAAUUCUUUUACUGCCGCAUGGAACGAAUUGAAGAAAAUUUCUCCCUGUGCUUCCCUAGCCCUGCUCCUCUGCACUGGGCUCCAGAGGACGUACCCAGCCCAAAGAAAGCCUGUGCCCUACCUGGCUCGUCCCAUUUUCUCACAUAGGAGGGGAAGGAAAGAGACGGAACGAUACAAGAUUCCUUUGGCACUCCUUCCAAUCAGCUCCUGACAGGCACCAACUGGCCUUCUUCUAUCACUUUAUAAGUUAAUAAAGCUAGUGUCUUCCUCUAAUGAUGUUCUUCAGAGAAAGGUUAGGGAGGAGCAAUGCCUAAAUUUUUCUCCAUCCACAGAGCUGCCCGUAUAAAACCAGCUCUCAGGUUGGCAAAGAUAGAAUAUUUAACGGUUGCUAAUCAAUAAGAUCUCUUUUUUUUUUCUCUUCUCUUCUCUCUGAAAAAUAUGGUGAAGCUACCCAAAGAAAUUAGUAAAUUAGCGCGCAUGAACAUGGAAGAACGCUUGGAGGAAUAAGAAAGUAAAUUUUCUCAUCGAGUCCAUAGGUAAACAAAAUCUUAUAACCAGAUUGAAAGAUACAAGAGAUAGAGGGAGAGGAGAAAAGGGGAAAAAAACACCACCUUUUGCCCUUCCGGAUACCAUUCAUUUCAUAUUGGCGGGUUGGUCUGUAUGUAUCACAGAGAGAAUACCGGAGGAGCGAAUCAGAGAGAGGAAGAAAGGUAACUCAAAUUGGAUACAAUGGAAGCAGAGGCCUCCCCUAGCCAGCGCCAUCUCUCUCCGAGGAAAAGAAGAAGAAGAAGAAGAGAUAAAAUCCGAAUUGGACGAAGUAGUCAUAAUAUUUUCGAUAAGGAUGCAGCAAUCUCAAGCAGAGGAAGCUGAGGCGGAGGAGAUUCGCGGCGACGUCACAGGGAAGAGCGGCAGCAGCCGGGGUGGCUCGGCGUCCCUCGGCGUGUUCCUCGGCGACGGGUGCAAGUAGAACCCCUUCUCAGCGAUCGCCCGCUCCUCGGCCGACAUCGCCGGCGACAGCGACGAGUCCGUCUGCGGCGACCGGUUGAAGGGAUCCGGGAUCAGCGGCGUGACCGGGCUGAGGACCAGGGCCGAGUGAAGAUCCAGCAUGCUCGGCGAGAGGAUCUCCGGCUGCUUCCUGGGGGAGAAGGCGCCGCCGGCCGGGGAAGCGGGGGCGGAACUGAGGAAGGUGGGGAUGAGCGGGCUGAUCAUUUUGAGAUUCUUGAGGCUGCUGCGGCGUUCGUAGAGCUUGAAGACCGGUUUCUUGGGGCCGGUGGCCUUGGCGGCGGGCGGGAUCGGGUUCUUGGGUGGCGGGGGGUUAGCGGCGGCGUGCUUGGCGGCGGUCUCGGCGGAGCCGGUGAGCAUCUGUACGACCUGCUUGAAAGAGGAGGUGUCGGCCUGGAUAAAGGUGGUGGGGUAGGGGUUGGAUUCGAUGGAUCUCGGAAUGGAUUUCGGCGUUGGAGGCUGUAGAUUUGGAGGCGAUGCAACCUGUACUGCCGCAAUUGUCGCUCCACCUGCGGCCGCUACUCCUUUGCUGCUGGUGCUGGUGCUGCUGCUGCUGGCGGUAGAAUUUGGGGAGGUGGGGUGGGAUGAUAGCUGCUCUCUUUCCUGGGGAUUUUGGUUGUGGUUUUCCAUUGAUCCUAGUGUUACAAAUUGGGGGAAAACAAAAAAAGAAAGAAAGGUAGAGAGGAGGAGGAUGGAGUUGGGGUUGUGUUGAUACUGGGGAGAAAUAAAGAGAAGAGAGAGAGGAGUUAGAGCUGCAUAGUUUGUGUGUGGAAGAAGGGUUAAUGAGAUGAAAAGAAUUGGUAUCUCUCCUCUCUUUUAUUUCUCUCUCCUGGUGGUGUUGGGAUCUGUUUGGUUUGUUCUAGGAAAAUGCCCAAUACCUUCCCGGAAAAUUGCUGUUUUGGAAAUGCAUGGAAUCGGUGCCCAAUUGCCCUCGGGAUGCCGAUUCCAAAAGGGCCGAGAGCCAUUGACUUCAGAGCCGCAGGCCCCUUUGGUCGUAAUUGUGUCGUAGCUUCGAUUGGGAUUCCCACUCUGCCCUUUUUAUGCCGCAACGCGUUGUUCCCAAGUUAAUCAUGGUCGUUGAAGUGGUAAGAUCGGUCAGGAGAAACCGUAGUGUACGGUCUCUCUCUCUCCCUCUCCAAUGCACGCUUUUUUUGUAGUCUGGAAUUGAUGAGUGCCAGAAAACUUGGUCGCCGAGAAAAAUUUGAAGGUCUUCGGAGUAGAUCAAUAGAAGGUGCAGCCGUGGAAAGUAAAGGACGGAGAAAGAAAAACAGCUUCUAAUCCUAUUCAAUGGUCACUGGAUAAACAUUUCUCCGUUUAUCCGCUUGAAUUCAUUUGCAAAUGCAGGGACCACACGUCGAGGCCCAGAAAUUGCUGCAGGAAAAUAUGGAUCAACCACUACUUGGAAUGUUUGAAUGGCAUCUACGAGCAUUUGUGGGAUUUCUUAACAAGAGCAGAUCUUGCAUGUCUCCCCACUCACUAAAGACUUGGUUGGUUCGUGGAAAAAGAAGGAAGGAAGUAUGGUCAACAAGAAAAAAAAGUUUUCAAAUGAGAGAGACAGGAGCUAGUAUUCUAUAAAAAAAAUUCACGAGGGACACGAAAGAGCUACAUUUUCAUCGACUAAAAAUUAGAAUCUUUUUUAUCAAAACUAUUCUUAAGCCAUCAAAAUCCAUAAAUAAAGCCUUCUCCUCUAUUAAGAAUAUAAUAGAUACUUAGUACAAAUUUUUCACAAAAGUAGAUACCCAACUAAAUAUAAGCUACUCUGAAAUAUAUUAAUUUUUUAUGAUCAACCAAAUAUACAUGCCCAAACUAUUUUUAGUUUUUUUAAAAAUAAUUCGGCAAGAAAAAUAACUAACUUAUUUAUGCUUUUGCUUCGGUUUCCAUAAAUUUUUUAUAGUGGCUUUUAAGAUGUUUAAUUUUACAGCCUUUCGAAGGGCAAACCUGGCAAUCCAUUAAGUUAUCAGCAUAGCCACUUAAGCAAUUUAAAACUUUCUGAAAGCCUAGUUAUGUUAAAAUGUUAAGUUGGGUGGUGGUUAGGCUCUCCAUCUUACUCUAACCAAUAAUAAAUGAGGGUUUGAUUAGUAGAGUUCCCCAUCAACGUUGGGUGAUUUAAUGCCAAAGUUUUGCGUGGAGUGAUGGGCAAAAGAGGAGGUGCCAGUGUCGGUGGGGACCAAAGUCCGCACCCUCCGGGGGGCAAACGACGUUGUAAGGCUGCUCAUUAUUGUUUUCUCAAACACCUGACACCUCUCAUUAUUAUCCAAUUACUAAACUCCUAUUUUCCCUUCUCUCUCCACACACGCUUCAAGAGGAAAGUGAAUCCAAGUCGUUGGUACGUAAGAUCCAAAAGACAAACCUCCAUCCCCCUAUUUUCCCUUCUCACUCCUAUUUGCUUCUUUUUUUUUUAGCAAGUGAAGAGUAAUUGAGAGGGGCAAGGCAUAGGCAGCUCAGGAAGAUUCAAUGGAGGGCUGAGAACGAUUCCAGGACGAGGCAAGGAGUGACUGUGUUCCCUCGAACAAGAAUCCCUCCAUAUGUGCAAAGGAAAAUUUUUUUUUUUUAUUUAAACCAUAUAUUCCAUCGUACAUAUCUUAAAAUAGAAAUCAAAGAGUCAAAAUUAAAUGAAACUCCCUACUAAUAGAAUCCUACUAUUUCAAAACUUGAAAGAAAAAAAAAGAAAUACAUAAAGUGUCUGCUCACAAGACAGUCCAUUCUUAUCUCUUCUUCCUCAUCAAAUUGUCCUUCCCUCUCCAUCUAUGUACAUGGUGUUCGCUACUAUACAAUCUAUAGCUAAAUAAUCCAUAUUUGACGACUUUAUGAUAUUGUAGGUUUCUUCAUAUCUAGUAGCAACUCAAUACAUAUCAGAUAAAUCGAUAUACGGUUUUCAGAAGAUAGUAUUUAAGAGUACACAAUAUAUGACCAAACGAGACAUGCAUAGCAAAUAAGUCAUAUAGUAAUUUAAUAUACACCUCUAAAUAAAUAGAUAUACAUUUUUUAGAAUGUGAGUUUUACUAGUAUAUAGUAUAUGGUCACGUGAUACAUAUUCGUUGGCUUUUUGAUAUAUAUUGUAAGUUUCUUUGAUACAUUACCAAUAACAAUUUAAUGCAUAUCUCUAAGUAAAUCGACAUAUUGUUUCUACAAUGUGGUGUUUACUAGUACAGUCUUUGACCAAGUGAUGCUUAUUUGGCAAAUUAGUAAUCAAACAACCUAAUAUAUACUUCCAGGCAAUUGAUACGUAGUUUUUAGAAUAUGGUUUUUACUAUAUCACCAUGUAAUUGAACAUAUCUCAACCAAAUGAGCUUUUAGUUUUCAUGCUUACCAUUCUUUUUCUUUGACGCCCCUCCCUCCUUGGAUGCUUGGAUAGUCACAAGUAGGAUGCUUGGAUGGUCACAAGGAUAAAAGUAGUUAAAUUCUUUGAUUUUUAUGAUUUAUGACUUGAUAAAACGCUUGAAAAAGUCAUGAGGAAUUGAAUCAGUCAGGCUUUUUUUUUUUUGCUCGUUUGCGAAGAAGGGACGCGGAAACUCGAUAUCUAUAAAAAGUUAUGAGGUAUUAAAUAAGACAAGCGUUUUAGAGCUAUCAAAAACUCAUAAAUUAUUACAUGAUUAAAGUGAUGCACUGAAAUUGUCGUUUGCUCUUGCGAUGGACAGUGUUGCCUUUCCUAUCCUUGUUAGUUUACACAUAAUUUAGUACAAUUGUGCAAAAGUAAUAGCUAACCAUAUGUUUCAGGAGUACAGACUCACCACAAUUCAUCCCCAUUCCCAAAAACUAUCAAAUCCUAUUUCUCGUUUCACAAAACAUUAAAGUCUUGUUAGAAAAAUCACUUUUUUUUCCUAAAGAAAACAUAUUGUUAUUUAGAACAGCACAAAUUAUAACAUAUUUAUUUUCUCUCUAGGAUCAUUAUUGAAAUCUUAUGUUAAUCCAACCAACAUACUUGUAAGACUUGUGGUUGGCAGCCAUGCUGGUUUGAUGUUGUCAAUUCUUGAUAAGGAGGCCUUUGACUCAUUUUCAUGAAUUGAAUCGUGGUGGUCUUAGAACCCCUGCCAUCUCUAUGUUUGCAAAAUCUUCUUAAUCUAAGAAUAUGAUCAAAAUAUCUGUUUCUGCAAUUAUUCUAGUAAGAGAUGGGUAGCAACAUAUGGGGAACUCUCAAUCAAUCAUGAUCAUAUAGUUUUAAUGAUAAAUCUAUAAUUAUUUUCUUAAUAGUAUGUUCCUAUUUAUGAAAUACUUAGAAAAUGAAAGCUGUCAAUUCAUUGUCAUCGCUUCACUCAAAAAACCAAAAUGAUAGUUGCUUGUCAUACAGAAUUUAAGAUACUCCUAUGCACAAUCAAUAAACAAAUGGGAGAUAGAAGACGCAAUUGAAAAUAAUACAUAGAUUGAAAUAUUUUUUCACUGAAAGAUUUUAAAACAAAGACGUAGAAGUCAAAUUGUCUCCCACUGGAUCUCAAAGUUAAAUUAAAGUAUAUUAUCAGGUUUCCAUCAAUAUGCUUUCCCCUGGUACUGACAAUAGGGCACAAAAAUACUUCACUUUUUUUUUCCAGAAUUUUCUCCUCAGCUGUUUGACAUGGUUAAUUCCUUUCAAUAUUUAUAGGAACUGAUUGUUGACACUCCCACCAUGAUUCUAUAACGUGUAAAGAGAACAGAAAACGUGGAUUCUUCUCGACUAUUACGUAAUGAAAGGAUAAUUUUCUUGCAAUAUCUUUAUUAAAAGAACAAUUUCUCUGUUAGUAUAAUUUUAGAGAUCACAUAAUAACUUGCAAAUCAGUUUAUAAUUUUCUUUUGCUAACAUAAUUUUUUAUCAAUAAAUAUUAUUUUUUUAUUUGUAUAAUCUUAUUAAAGUGAUUUUAGGAAUUAUGUAAUAACUUAUAUCAGUCAAUAACACUUUUCUUUAUUAGAAUAAUUCUAUAUCAACCUAUAUUAUUUUCUUGUAUAAAGUUUAUACGCUAGUAUAUAUUUAACUCUCGAGAUAUACCGAAUGUGAGAAAGCAGAGAAAUAAAAUUAUUUUUCUCUCUCUUUCUUUCUUUUGUUUUUCUAUUUUUAUGCAAAUAUUUCAUCAUGGUAUUAAAGCCACCGAUCACUUAAUCUGCUGUUGCCGUCUCUUUCACAUUUGUUAUGGCCAUCAUUGCCAUGUUUAGAAGAUUUUAAGAUCCCUAUUGCCGAUCUAUCUAUCUCUAUUUUUUGGUAAAUCAAUAUUCGAAGAUCCUCUAUUUUUUGAUGAAUUCGCAGAUUCUCUAUUUUUCCACUGGUCCUCUAUUUCCUAGUGAAUCAGCAUUAGAUGAUCCCAUGUCUUUUAGUAAAUCUGCAUAUCCUCCGUUUCUAGUAGAUUAAUAUCCAAAAAUCUUUUAUUUUCUAAUGGAUCUGCAUCUUCUCUCCACUGUUUUUCUCCUUAGUUUUAGAUCUUUGGACAUCUCACAUCACCGUCACUCGGCCUCUUCCCCUCUAUCUCCAGUUUCAUUUGUUGCCUCCUGCUCCUUCACCAUCCAAUUCGAGGUCUCUUGCUCCCUUCCAUAGUGCCUCCAUCUGCGAGAAUCGUCGACCUUUGGUUGCCUUUUAUAUAAGCUUGGGACCUCGCUGCAACUGUCAUAUUUUAUGUAUCUUCUCACUGUCAUGCAAUCUAAAGUAGCCAUAAUAAAUGACACAAUACUCUACCACAUGAGCACAGAUAAGACAUAUCAUCCAACCACAUCAUCAUUGAUCAGCCAUGAUGCUUUGCCACGUUAUCACUUAUCCAUCCGUAAAGCUGCCAUAUAUAUCUCUGCAAUAUGAGAGCCACGUUGGCUACUAAUUAGAUACAAUAGUCCAUCAUCAAAUAUAUUAAUUAGCCACAUCAAUAUACCACGUCAUCAAGCAAGUCAAUUAGCUAUAUCGGCAAACACGUUAAUUUACCACUGUAAUAACCCCAAAAUUUUUUUUNNNNNNNNNNNNNNNNNNNNNNNNNNNNNNNNNNNNNNNNNNNNNNNNNNNNNNNNNNNNNNNNNNNNNNNNNNNNNNNNNNNNNNNNNNNNNNNNNNNNNNNNNNNNNNNNNNNNNNNNNNNNNNNNNNNNNNNNNNNNNNNNNNNNNNNNNNNNNNNNNNNNNNNNNNNNNNNNNNNNNNNNNNNNNNNNNNNNNNNNNNNNNNNNNNNNNNNNNNNNNNNNNNNNNNNNNNNNNNNNNNNNNNNNNNNNNNNNNNNNNNNNNNNNNNNNNNNNNNNNNNNNNNNNNNNNNNNNNNNNNNNNNNNNNNNNNNNNNNNNNNNNNNNNNNNNNNNNNNNNNNNNNNNNNNNNNNNNNNNNNNNNNNNNNNNNNNNNNNNNNNNNNNNNNNNNNNNNNNNNNNNNNNNNNNNNNNNNNNNNNNNNNNNNNNNNNNNNNNNNNNNNNNNNNNNNNNNNNNNNNNNNNNNNNNNNNNNNNNNNNNNNNNNNNNNNNNNNNNNNNNNNNNNNNNNNNNNNNNNNNNNNNNNNNNNNNNNNNNNNNNNNNNNNNNNNNNNNNNNNNNNNNNNNNNNNNNNNNNNNNNNNNNNNNNNNNNNNNNNNNNNNNNNNNNNNNNNNNNNNNNNNNNNNNNNNNNNNNNNNNNNNNNNNNNNNNNNNNNNNNNNNNNNNNNNNNNNNNNNNNNNNNNNNNNNNNNNNNNNNNNNNNNNNNNNNNNNNNNNNNNNNNNNNNNNNNNNNNNNNNNNNNNNNNNNNNNNNNNNNNNNNNNNNNNNNNNNNNNNNNNNNNNNNNNNNNNNNNNNNNNNNNNNNNNNNNNNNNNNNNNNNNNNNNNNNNNNNNNNNNNNNNNNNNNNNNNNNNNNNNNNNNNNNNNNNNNNNNNNNNNNNNNNNNNNNNNNNNNNNNNNNNNNNNNNNNNNNNNNNNNNNNNNNNNNNNNNNNNNNNNNNNNNNNNNNNNNNNNNNNNNNNNNNNNNNNNNNNNNNNNNNNNNNNNNNNNNNNNNNNNNNNNNNNNNNNNNNNNNNNNNNNNNNNNNNNNNNNNNNNNNNNNNNNNNNNNNNNNNNNNNNNNNNNNNNNNNNNNNNNNNNNNNNNNNNNNNNNNNNNNNNNNNNNNNNNNNNNNNNNNNNNNNNNNNNNNNNNNNNNNNNNNNNNNNNNNNNNNNNNNNUAUUACUUCAGCCUCUAAGCUGCCAUGUCAACUUCUAAUCUACCAUCACGUCAAUUUUUGAGCUGCUAUGUUGGCUCCUAAUCUAUCAUAUCAACUUCUGAGCUACUACUUUAUCUUUUGAUCUGCUGCGUCAAUUUCUAAGUACAUUCGCGAUCUAGUUUCCAAACUUAAGUUGGUAUCUACAGUGUCAUAUUUAGUUUGACGGUGGAUGUUAGCAUAAUUUUAAAGAUCAUGUAACAAGCUACAUCACCCAAAAUAUUUUUUUAUUAGCAUGAUUCUGUAUCAAUAUAUAUUUUUUUAUUAAAAUAAUCUUGUUAGAGUAACUUUAGGGAUCACGCAGCAGUCUGUAUCAUCCAUAAUAUUUUUUUUAUUAAUGUAAACCUUUUGUUUUCUUUAUAAAGAGUUUAUACAUGCAUAUAUGACCCCCGAGGUAUACCGAAUGCCAUAGGGAAAUAAAAUUAUUUUUUUUUCUUCUAUAAAUUUUUUAACACUGUAUUUUACGUUUAGACAUAAGUACUUUCUGACCAAAUGAUGACCACCCCAACAUCCCAGCAAACUUUGUGACCUUGGGAAAGCUUUGAUAAGAUGAAUCAGCCUGGGUCCAUGCGUUUGUUUCCGGUCCUUCCACCUAUUGAUUACGAUUCCCUUCUUUUUUUGAGGCAAUUGAUUAGUAUUCCUAACCCAUGGAAAUGGUGUUAAUGAUGCUUAGUUGGACAAGGCCGUAUUCUUGGUCUUUUUGAGGUAAUCGAUUAUUAUUCCUAACCCGUGGAAAUGGCGUUAAUGCUGCUUAGCUGCACAAGGCUGUAUUCUCGGUCUACAAAUCUUUUUUGACUAAACCCUCACCAGCCUUGGCAAUUAGUGCACAACCUACCAAACCAAAAGCUGAGCUACUGUGGACAAAAUAUUAGGUUCAGAAUGGACUAGAAACCUCAUCAAAUCAAUUCAAGCUCACCUCAGUCAAGAUGGCAUUUUGAAAGGAUCACUGUUUCUGUAAUUCCUCUCAAUGAUAUUCUUGUUGUUUCUAACUUUUCAUUGGAGGUUAAGUGCUUGAAUGGUCCUGGUAGUUGGUAACAUAUAAAGAAAACUAGUAGAAAUUUAGCGAGCUAUACAGAUACGAACAGUAGAUAAGACUUUAAUGCUCAGAAAUGGUCCUCGUAGUUGGACCGACAAAUAGGAAAUGCGUUUUAAUGCUCAGAAAUGGUGGAAACAGUGUCUGUCUUUUCUUUAUGCCCUCUUUCCUUUCGUUAAUAUAUAUAUAAUAUGGACAAUUGGGAGAAUCCAACGUUAAAGGCCUGUUUGUGGCAAGCAAACUCUAUUGCCAAGUUGGAAAGACCCAUGCGAGCCCUGUACACUCCAAAAUCAAAGAAAGCUUCAACAACCUCCACAAUGGAAAAAUAGUUCAACUUCUUUCGCACAAAUAUAAUUCCAUCCCUCAUCCUCUUCGUUAUCAAUAAAUUUAACUUUUACAUCUAACUCGAAAUCAAAAGCAGAGAUUGCAUAAAUCUUCAAAAAAUAAAAUCAGGUCUAUAACUGCAUGAGAUUGCAUGAAACAAUUCAGCCUAAUAUAAAACUAGGCUCAGUCUCAACCAGCCAUAAAAUACCUCAUUUAAUGUUUAUACCAAGUUUAACCCCCAACUGGAAAGCUGCAAUUAAAAUGUCAGCUGAGCUAUCCACUGCUCAUUUAAAUUAAGUAACAAGAGAAAGUAUAGAUAGACAAGUAAUCUAAUAUCCAUGCCACCUUUAAUUACUUCAGUCAACUGACAUUCAAGCCUUUUAUGCCAAAGAUUUCAACUUUAAUGAUGAAUAAAACAGGUUCAAUCCCAUGAUCUCAAAGUUGCACCUAGGACUGUCAAACAACCAUGAUAUGCGCCCGAUGCUUUUCAGGAUCUUCUAGAAGACGGCAAGGCGACAGAAAACACUUGUAACAUUUCUAUUGGAUGAUCCAUUGCCCGAAUCCAGACACCCAUUUCUCGAAUCCUGGCACUAAAGCCCACAACUGGGAAUCCACUUCGAUCAACACUAUCGAAUGUCCCACUCAGGAGCCACACCUUACAGUCCCGGUGAAGUAAAGAGUGGAGAAUGUGAUUCUCUAAUUGGAAAGUUGAUGCUGACAAUGGCAGAGGAAGUCAAAAUCAUAUGGACCAAGUUCUGGGUUGUCCUCCAAGAUAAUAAGCAAAAUAGUUGAGAACAGGGAAAGUCAUGAAUGAUGCCAAAAAUCCUAGGUCCCAAAAAAAUGAUAUUUGAAGUUCAGAGCAACGGCAUGGCAAGGAAGAUGAAGGAUAACUUCCUUCAAAACAUUGUCCUGAUGCACUAAAGAUUAGUAACCAAUACCCUGGCUGCAAUUCCUGUGAAUAAAAAUUAUAAAAGAAUAAAACGGCAAGUGAGUGAAUGACAUUUUAUCUUUAGUUUAAACAAUGACAAGCAAGCAUGAUGCUUGUGGUGGUUGAAACAUUACACAAACAGAUAGUAGCUCAGAAGUCAAGAACUCAACUUCAUCUGGAGGGAAUAAUUAGCUUGGUAAGCUGUCAAAGCAACCAGCACAAAAUCUCUGUCCAAGAAUAUUUACCAAGCUGAUGGAUUAUGGAAACAGACUGCUGGAGGUUUACUAUAAACCAGUAGUCAUCCUUGCCUAGUUCUUCGAUUGCAGGUACGUGUUAACGAGAAACAUUUAUCUAACGAGAUGCAUGGGAAACAGAGGAAAGGAUCACCAUCUUCCUUUCUUAGCAAUCAAGUUGUGAGUAGGCAAUCAACUACCACUAAACUUCAGAAAUUUACAUAUAUAUAUAUAUAGAAAAAAGAAAAUGUUAUAGAAACAACUGGAAAAAUUGCAGUGGUUUCUGAAACACCCAUAUGCUUACCCCGCUCCAAAUGAACAGCUUCAUCAAAAAUGAAAUAGAACACAGACUCAAAUGUCUCAUCCAAGUUCAAAGCAACUUGAGAAACAAACCAAAAUAACCAAAUUUCUCUUUUUCUACAGCAAAUUAAGCUCACAAAAACCGAAAGCAACUUAUGGAGUUAAUUCCAUCGAACAUUAACAAAACUCUGGAUACAUAUGGGAGAAACUUAACCCUAGGCAACUUAAAUAAUGAAGCACGAGUCUAACUUUUGUUCUUCUUUUUUUUUCUCCCCUUUUUUCUUUUUGCAUGUGUGUGUUUGUGUCUGCAACAUCAUUGUGAUCAAAGAUUAGCUUCCUCCGCUAGAAGUUGGAAGACCUUCCUUGAAGUUCUUUUAUGUGUCAUGUGAUUCUGUGAUAAAUUUGUGUUAUCAGAAAAUAAUUCCAUCGGAAUCAUCAAAACAGAUGAGGUUUAAGGGCUUAAUCUCAUUCCAUUUAACCAAAUUAUAAGUUAGUGCGGGGCCAUUCGAUCUUUUCACCACUACUCUCUAAUCUAAAUGGUUGGGAAAAAUGAAUCAGGCAAUAAUAUACAUCAUAAAACAGCCAGAAAUUAAACUUCUGCAUUCUUGGAUCAACGUAUUACAUUUCCUUCCCCUCCAAAAUUCUUUCAAAAUUCUAUCAAAAAUUUAUCAUAUUCACUAAUUAACGUGAAAUGAUAAUUUACCAAUGCUUAAAAUAAAAAGGAAAAUGCUGCAGGGCACUCGUUAUGCACACUCAAAAAGUUGAUUAGGCCAGAACUGUUGAUUUAGCAACACUACAAUUAAUCAAAUUUUAUAUUUGGCAACAAAUACUGCAAGUUGUACCAAUCCUAUCUUGCUACAUGGCAAGAGAAUUGCUCAUGUGCCCACCCUGUAGCAUCAUUUUAGUUAUUCCACAUUCCAUUCUUGUUUAAAUCCUGCAACGAUGAUACCGUCGCCAUUGAUGAUGAUGAUACAUCCAAUACUAGCAAGUCUACCCUCAUGCCUCGUAUUGAUAUUUCUCAUUGGGGGUGAAAGUGGACAAGAUCAUAUUCGUCCAGAUCCAUUUUCAUAUUCAAUUCUAUUAAGAUAUGAACAAAAAUUUUAGCAUCUAACUAUAUCUAUGUUCGUAUUCAUAUCCAUACAAAAAAAAAGGAUAUAGAUAUGGAUAGACAACUACCCGAUCUGUAUCCGAAUAUCCAAUUUUAUUUACAACCCUAUUUAAUUCUAUAUAACACACAAACUUUUAAUAAAAAUAUAUAACCAUAUUAACAUGCUAUUGACGUGAUUUACCAUCCAUUUAGUAAUAUCUUUGAUUCUAUGGUCAUAAAGUAUAACUAUCGGAUUUAUAUCCAUAUUUAUAUUCAUAUUUUCAGUAUCCGAUAUGCAGCCGUAUUUGUUUGAAACAAAUAUAGAUAUAAAUUUUUGUAUCCGAAUAAUAUGCAUAUCCAUAUUUAUAUUCAUCAAAUAAAAUAAAUGUAGAUAUGGAUAUACUGAUAUUCAAUCAGUAUCUAGUCUAAUUUCAGCCUUAUUUCUCAUUGUGGUGGCCCCGAGAACUUUCCAUUGUGUUGUUGUGAAGAAAUGAUAUGGUGGUAAUGCGCCACGAUCAGAGUUCAAAGCUGGACCAAUAGAAAGUCAUAUAACCAACCGAACGAAAAGGCCUGCCAAGUGCCAAGAGAAAUAGCCCAACAGCCCACUACCGCUGGUUUGGGUUUCAUCUGAACUUCUAGGGUUUUUCCCAUCGGUUGACUCUUUAAAUUGACACGCCGGGGACUGGACUUCCCCAUCUCGAGCGGCCUCCAUGGAUUUUGUGGUACUCAUAUUUCUCUACCUUCCAAGCUUCUCUAAAACUAUUCUCCCGUUUUUUUUUAUAUUUACUAAUCUUCUCUGGAUAAUAAAAGUUUGCUCUGAUCCAAGUGGAAUUUGUAUGUGUGGAGGGGGCGAUGAUGAUGCGAUUUUGUUUGCAAUGAUAUGGUUUGCCAUAUGAUUAAUCUUUAACAAAUCAUCGCUACGUUCUUUCUGAGUCCCCUUUUAUUUUAGCAAUUUAUUUCUCCUAAUUUUCUUAUUAUCAUCUUUUGUCUCCAUGUAAACCGUAGCGUUUUUUUCUUAGGCAAAUAUACUCAACUUUUGGAUUCUCCUUGGGAUUCUCCGGAUUUAGCCAUUCCCUUUUUUUUAUUUCUUUUUAUUUUUUUCUUAAAAUUCCCUUGGGCCCAAUAUGAAACCUGAUUUCUUUGAAGAUUAAUCAGUGCUGUACACUUUUUUUUUCUUUUUAGAAGACAAAUCAAACUUAGAUUAAGUUAAAACGAUGCAUCCUUGGCGAGUAUUUUCGGAUUAAAUUCUGAAUGGAGGUUUGAGAUUGAGCUCCAACCGAUUUAGCUCUUUCUUUUUGUGUUAGAAAAUGGUGACCAAGUCACCACCAUUUGGCAUUCACAACAGGAUGGGGAUCGUCACCCGAUUGGAGCUGCAGUGUGAACUUUGAAAAAUAGAAUAGAAAGUUAAGGAAUAAAAUAUAUUACUUAAAUACAAAUACUACUUAUCUUUAGCAUUAUUUUUUCCAUAGAUGAAUCAUCACAUCCAUACUCAAAUCCUUAAAAAUUUUGAGACGCCGUAUAAGUUAGAAAUAGUCUGAGUGAUUUGCUGUUGCUGACAACCAAAAGGCUGACUACGAGUUCGGAGUUUUUUUUUUUUUUUGUCAAAAACGAGUUCGGAGUUUGGAAUACUGAGUCAUAGUCUAAGCUAUAAUACUAUUGCAAUUAUAGCUUUUGCGCACGCCAAUAUCUAGCUUCAACUUGGAAGCCUUUUCUGGAUAAACGAAUUGAAACCUCUUUUUUUUCUUGGAAAUUGAUUGAAAUUUCUGCAGAACUUUGGAAACCAAGUUCAUACUGACAUUUAGAUCCAAGUUUGUCAGUUUGGGGAUGCUGGAGGAUUAUGGCCACAUGAAUAUAAUGUCUGGCACAGGGAGUUCAAGUGUCACACAUUUGGCUCUGGUGAAUUAGUUGUACAAAUUGGCAUUACAGUAUGCUCUUAACAUAUGAAAAAGCUCAUGAAAGAAUGAUCAACUGAACAUUUCAGCCCAACCAUUUCAGCACAAGUGUCAGCCAUGGUAUCCAUGAUCAACUGAACCCUACAUCAAGAGUGAGCGAAGGGAAUCUGUGGUGUUUCACCUAUGCCAUAAAACAUGAGUUAGUUGAGGAUAGGCUGGGCCACGAGUAGCCUCUAGCUCUUCUUAGUUCGGAGGGAGACUAGUGAUGCACCUGUUAUACGGAGAAGGUUUAAUGUAUGCAGCUUUACCCCAAUAUACAGAGAGACUAUUUCUAUAUUUCUAAUCAACAAUCUUUAGAUCAUAAUGAAGCAAUCUUAUUGUUGCACUACAAUCCACCCUCUUUCUAGCCCUAGUUUCGUAGUCCUAAUAUUAGGAGCUGACGUGUGUUGGGCCCACCUAAAUACGACUUUAGCUCUAGCUUCUCUCUAUCAAUUGAAGGCAGACAAAUUGCCACAAGAUUGUGUUGUCACCAACACUAAAAUCCACCUUCACUUGGUGUUAAAUUAACUUCUUUGGGCCAUCCUUUGGCUUUUGGAUACAAGAAAUCUGACCUAGUCUCCCAAAAUGGAGAAUAAAGCUGGCAAGCAUAUGAUGGUUGAUUUCUUUGUAUUAGGUACAUUAACCUAAUGUAAGUCAUAUUGGCUGGAUCUUGGCAUGUGCAAUACAUAUGAUUUAUACAAGUGCAAUCAAGAUUGAUUGUAGUGAAUGUGAUGAUGAUAUCCUUUGUUUUAGGUUAUGCACACUUACAUUUGUUUAUUUUUUGAUAAACACUUACAUCUAUUCAUUAAGAGCAACGGUUAGUGUGUGUUAUAGAGAUAGUAAAGGAAAAUUACAUUUAUAAUGAAAUUAGUGGAAGAUGUUCUCAAAGAUGCCAGCGUCCCUUAGUCACCAAAAUCAUCUUGUUGUAUGGGCUGCCCAAACUAUCUCAAAUGCAUAUUAGCAACCAAAAUAUGUGAAGUAGAUGUAUCAAAAGUCAAAAGAAUUUUUUUAAGAAUUUUUUUUUUGGAAGGGAGAUUUGUCCAGAAUCUCAAAGUCAUUAGUUUUUCAAUUUUUGAAAAAUUCAUAGAUCAAGCCUUCAUCCAUUGUAUGUCAUUUGGACAUUCCAUGACUUCCCUUGCAUCAAAAUCAUAUUAGUUAAAAAAACUUAUGCUUUAAUAUAUAUUUAUAAAAACCCCAAUACUACAUAAUCUCUUAGCAAGAGUCUCAAUAAGGAUAUAUAUGAGAAGAAAUAAGAUCUCUUAUGAUGUAAUACUUUUUUAGAUUGUCAAUGCUUUAUAGUUUCUUAGUUAUAAUUUCAAUACAAAAGUCAACAAUUGGUUGGCACUGCUCCCCUGAGAGCUUGCCUUUAGACAAUAUCCAGUAUUCAAAUCCUCGAUAUAGCCCAAAAAUCAAUUCUAAUAAAUAAAAACUUUUUAUAUUUCUGUUAAUGCUUUCUGUCCAACUUUCUCAAAUCUUUGAUUCCCCUAGCUUCUUAAAAGAUCUUUGUUCUCAUAAUAACUUAGUAAAUCUUAAAUCACGGUUGCUCAUAAAAAAAAAGUAAACAUGGACAUUGACGUGUCAUACACGCAUGAAGACUGGCACUAAAAACUGGAAGCUGAAUGUUUUUUUUUUUUAAUGUAGUUAUGACCCAACUCAAGGAGAAAAACCAAAAAUAAAAAAAAGAAACAAAAUCUACCCUCCUAAGAAGGCUCUAAAAAGAUGAUUCGCACAAUCCAAGCGUUUCAGUGAACCUGAACAAAUUAAACCACUGCAUUCAAAGAACCUGAUCCUGAACCCAAAAUUUGCAGCCAGGCUGACGAAAAAAUCAAGGCUGCCAUGAGAAUUUUGAAUCUAAGUUGGACGAUGGGCCCAGCCCUGCGGUCCGUGCGUACGUCCUCUUACUUAGUUGUCCCGUCCGUUCCAAGUUGGGCUGUUGAGUCAGAAGGUCACCUUUUCUUUCAUAAUUUGGAUUCUUUCAGAAUUUAUUUGGAUAUUUCCAUAAAAUUAAGCUAAAAAUUUUAUAAAUUUGUGGAUUGGAUACUGUUUAAAUAUUUCUAUAAUUAGGCUAAAAAAUUCUAGAGAAUUGAGCCUAUUGGUCCUUUUGCUUGUAUUUUUUAAGUGCCUGAAUCUUUAAGCUGCAGGAAGAAAAAAAAUUUAUACCUAUGAGAUUUGGACUGGAAGGUAGUUGGUUGGUCCAUAGUUAUACUUAAAUGGAUGACUUAAUUCAUGAAUCUUACGAAAUUUUCCUCUUUCAACCCUUCAGCAGUGCUCUAGACUGCAACAAGGUGGGAUUGGGACGAGUUCAAAGCUGUUGCUUUGCUUUCCUAGGAGUGAAGUUGGUCUGCUUUGUCUAGUAUCUAUCGUGCGCCACGUGGCUUUCAAGAUAGGUUCUAUGUGCAGACUAACGUUCAUGAUGAUUAAAUUACUUGCAAAUGAAACUAUGAUGAGCUCAUGAGCCGUGAUAGCAUUCCUCAGCACGUAACUUCUCCAAAAUGCGAGAAAAAUUGUUGCUUUGAUUCUAAACACAUUUGAAAGACUUUUGACCGGUACCAUUUUUAUUCAUGACAAAAAUUGCAAUUAGAGUUUCCUGUUCAUCUUAUCCAAAAUCUAUUAUGGUUUAGACAUCAAUAAGUUGGAUAUGUGACUCCUUAAGAUGAGUCAUGCCAUCCUAUUCACACUGUAGGGCCCAUAUUUAGAGGCAUUUAGCUGGUGUUAUAUAUAUAUAUAUAUGUAUUGGGUCAUCCUGAUAUGGCGUAUACGUAAGUAUUGCAAAAGGAUAGUUGGAUAUGGUUUGAUUUCAAGGUACUAGCCCAGUUGUGAUGGUGCCGAAUGCUCGAUCAAUACAUACCUAGCCAUGAUCAAGUUGUCGUAGAAGGCAAUCAUGGCAGUAUUUGCUGUUCGUCUUUCGAAUGACAAUAUUUCUAGAAACAAGCUUGAUCAUAUUCCAAAUAUGGCGUUCUAAUUUUGGAAGAUAACUAUGGUUGAAAUAAACUUGAUUAUCUUCCUAUUAUGGCCAUAGCCACAAUUUCCUUCCUGUAUUGUCGUUAUAUGAUUUUAAUAUAUUGUCAUUAUAUGAUUAUAUGUAAUCUCUCAUUAUCUUCCUUGAAAUGCUGUGUUUAUAAAUAAAUUGUCAAAGAAUCAAAUCUCAAUAAUAAGGAGAAAUCUAACAACUAUGGAAAAUCAUAUAAUGACAAUAUACAUGGAACCAUAUAAUAACAAUACAUGAAAGUAAUUACAGCAAUGAUAGGAAGGUAAUCGAAGCCAUGAUAGGAAGAUAAUCAUAUUUGUUUCAAUCAUAAUUAUCUUCCAAGAAUCAGAUGCUAUAUUGGAAGGAGUUCAAACUUGUUUUUAGCAAUAUUGCCAUGAUUGCCUUCUAUGACAACAUGACAAUGGCUGGGUGCAUGUAUUGACCGAGUAUUAAUUAAGGCACCAUCAUAACUGAGGCAACUGCCAACUCAUGCAUGCAAGUACCUGCUGUACACGCCACAUGACUCAUAAAGCUUAUGAAUAGCUCAAUUCGGUUGAGAAACUUUAUAGUAGUGUGACACAUUUCAUAUGGACGGCGUACCUUGGUAACUUGAUAGAGAAGGCAGUGGGCUGCUCAGAGGUUUUAAAUUCCACCCGGGGCUUCUUUCCGCCCAAUAACUAGGUGAGAGAGAGACUUGGCCAUUCUUUUCCAUUGUCUACAUUCUUUUUUAUUUAUUUUUAAGAAAGCCCUCCAGGUUUGCUCUUUGAAGAGGGAUAUUGUAUGAAACGAAAAUAUGUACGUUUAUCAAUGUCAUUAGAUUUAUAUAGUACAAAUAUAAUGAUAUUUUCGAUUUUUUAAGCAAUGAUGAUGUUAUCUUUCUUACUAUAUGCCCAAUACUAGAAUUGCAUCUGCGCAAGAAGAGUUGUUAAUAUUCAUUUCACCAGCAAAAGUUGUUCACGUAACAAGAUCCAUUAGUCAGGCAUGGGUCCCUCAUUCGAAUCCUAUGCGCCUUUUUCAAUGCUUAUUACAAGUGUUAGACUACAAAUAGAGUUUGUAUAAUAAUUUAAUGAAAUUGAAAGGAGUCUUUAAGAAAACACGAGUGCAGGUUGUGAACUCUAUUGAGAGAAAUGGAUGAACUACGAAAAGCAGACUCCUUUAACCCUCCAUAAACGUAAGGCAUUGUCAUGAAUUUUAUUAUUAUAAUUAAAUACACUUUAUUUUUAGUAUAUACAUGCACUAAUAUUAGCCUUCAAUUAAUUAGUACAAAGGGCGUAUAAACUAAUCUAUUACGAAAAAACUUAAUUGUAAUCAUGGUCAUCCAUCUUAAACAAACAACAUGCGUCUGUCAAGAUCGAGUAGCAUAUAUAUAUUGCAACUGAAGCUUCCAAAUAAAAUCCAGAAUUAAUGACGGAGAUCGCUGGAGAGAAUUCUUAGAAGAGCUAGAGAAACUUCUGUGAAUCUUUUAAAUUUACCAUAUAAUCUAAAAAGAAGUAACAACAAUUACUAAGCACUUGCAAUUAAAUAGUGCACAUGCAGUGACGGUAAUGAAAUCAGUUUGUUCGACUCGUAUUAUGGAGCCCGGCCGAAUUGAAUGGAUGAUCAGUUUUUUUUCUUCUUUGUUGGUGGAAACCAUGGAGGUCUAAGAGUUUCUUCCCCAGUUAAAACCCUAGCCCUUUAGCUUUGGAAGAUUGAUGCGGCUAGCUACAAUGCAGUACAAUAAAAGUGCCGAUCACGAGGUGACAUGGGUAGGUGAACUCAUAUUCCAAGUAGUUAUGAGGCUUGGAUGAGCUGUUCUCAUUAGAGCAAGGGUUCUCCAAACUCGGGACGACAGUAGUCUUCCAAGCUGCACUUAUUAACACCCCAUCCAGGACUAUACAAAUAAAUAGACGACAAGCUUCUAACGUAUUAUCCGUGUCAUAUCCUAUGUGAUGGCGAUCAAGACAAUGCAUCGAGGUUGGGCCUAGACAUAGUUGAAAGAAUACUUCAUUGCCUUCUGGUUUCAAGAAGCGUCAAUUUCCAAACUUAGAUGAGCUCCCUUAUGCUACAAAGCAUUAAGUCCCUUAAAUGCGCCUGCACCACGUCAACCAACUUUUUACAGUCUAUCUGCGUCCAUAUUUAUGCUCGUAUGCAGUGCUAUCAAUCGAGUCUCGCUUUUCCCGUGUAUUUAUGGACACCAACUCCCCGUGCCACUCUUCACAGCGACUCGACUCCUUUAAUUCCUCUCUCUUGCUCCUCCCUCUUUGUGGGCUUUGAGUUGGUCGCGAUGGAGAGUGGGAGGAAAGGGAAGGGCCUUCUCAUGUAUUUCCUGUUAAUGGGACUGGUUUCUCAUGAAGUGGUCACACCCGUUGUGUGCAGGAGCCUCGAGAAGUUUGCUGACCAGAAGAACUACUACUCUCCUGAUCCACAUGCACCGAGCCAUCCCAGACGUAAACUCUUCUUCCUUUCCUCUGAUCCUCUAUAGCUUUAGCUAACAGUGUAAUAACACAGCAUGGUUGACAUUCUUACAGACUUACACAGGACUCCUUCUUGCGGAACACCGCCGCACGGCGGGACGCCGACGCCAACGCCAACACCAACACCAGCACCAUCCCAUGGAGGUGGUGGCCACUCCAAUCCGCCAUCUGGUGGUGGGUACUCCAAUCCACCGCCUGCACCGAUCGUCGACGCCCCUCCUUCCCCUCCACUGGUUCCUAUCGUCCCUCCAACUCCAUUUACUCCGGUGAGCCCCACGCCUCCGGCGCCGCCGUUUAUUCCGAAUCCAAAUAUCCCGCCAUUCUUCACUGGCACUUGCGAGUAAGUCGCCUGAACUUGGUCACAAGGCGCUUGGUACAUUCUUCUGAAUCUUCCAUCUAUGUUGAAAUCACCACCCACCCCAAAAACUUAAAGCUAAUAGGAUGAGAUAAAUUUAUUUAUAUNNNNNNNNNNUUUAUUUUUUUUUUACACACUUCCUGGCUGGAUUUUUUUUCCAAUAGAUGAGCUCAAUAUGGAAUUUCUUUUUUUAAUAAUAGGGUUAAACUUUAAUACCAUGUUGAAAUCACCACUUAUCCCAAAAACUUAAGCUAAUAGGAUAAGAUAGGUUUAUUUAUAUAUUUUAUAAUUUUUUUACAAUCUAAGUCGUUACGUUACAUGCAUUCAGCUUCUGGAGGACGCACCCAGCAGCAAUAUGGGGCCUCUUUGGUUACUGGGUCCCCGUCGGCCAAUUCUUCGGGUUGCCAUCUACUUCGAUGUUUGGGAGGAACCUGAGCUUACCGGAGGCACUGGCGAACACUCGCAAGGAUGGCUUCGGAGCUCUCCUCCGCGAAGGGACGGCUUCUCUUCUCAACUCCAUGGUGAACCGGAGGUUUCCCCUGACGACGCAGCAAGUGACGGACGCUUUUGCCGCUGCUGCAGCGUCCAACAAGGCUGCUGCAGCCCAAGCCCAGCUCUUCAAGAAGGCUAAUGAGGGCCAUCUCAAGCACAAUUAGUAGCGCCUCCUGAUAUUUUCCUUCAAUGGUGCAUGCGUUUUCGCUGUAGUCUCGUGUAAUGAGCUUGAGUAGUGUGUAUGACUGAUGAUCUUCUUUGUGUGUGUUGUCUUGUGUCAAAGCUUCGUAAUUUCAAAUGUAGUGCGAUGUUGUGGGGAGUGGAAAUGGCAUUAAAGAUGAAACAUGAGCAUAUGUUGCAGUGGACCGAACUCGGUUAAUUUUCGGAUAUCAGGCUUAGAACAAGUCCAUGCAAAUUUAGGCAGCUCAAAUAAGGUGAUGAUGCCCCAACCCGCUGUUAGUACAAAGUUCAGAGUUAUGCCUUCAAGACCAGAUCUGAUUGCAAUGAAGUGGCGUGAAUUUUUCCCAUAAAGCUAUUUCGUUCGUUCAAGGUCCAACAGAGAUUAACUCGAGGCCAUUUCCAUUCAUUUCCAGCCCUAGUUGGUAGGUAGGAAACCAUGAAUGUAAUCGGCGAAAGGAGACCACAAUUGAAUGUCAGUAUCAACCAUGCCGAAUAAAAUAGACCUCUUAAUAGAACCUCGCCAAAUCAUGGCAGUCUAACGUUGCCUCGGAAGUGCGGCCAGAUCCAGUUCCUUGAGGAAUGGACGGACUUCUUGCUGUGUAGUGUUCUCAAAUCAGAACAAUCAAUGCGCCUUAAUAGCACUUCACAGUGACAAUUAAUCGGAUUCAAGUCAGCAUUGUGCUGAACCAACCAUCCCCUGCCCGGAAACAUUUAAGGGAUACAGCAGGCACAGAGAUAGCCUUCCGGCCAAUCCUAAACAGGGCUCUAGUUGCCCCGGUUGAUUUGGCUACACCAAGUUCUCGCUUGAAUCAGUUGCAUACGUAUAACACUUGUUGGGAAAGGUAUCAAAGGGGAAGCAGUGUACAUGGAUUUUAACCAUUUGCAUCUUUUCGUUCAUCAUCUUAUAAAUUGUUCAAACAAAAAAAAGAAAAAGGGAGGAAACGAUGCUCCAAGUUCACCUAGGUCUUUAUGAUUUUGUUGGAACCUAUCUGAUCUAAGUCUGAAUUGAAAAACCAAGAGCUUGUUUGGUAAUGUUUUCAUUUUCUGUUCAAGAAGAAAAUGAACCAAAUUAGAUAUCAUGUAUGUUGAAAACUAUUUGUUCUUCAAAUUUUUUGUAAAAUAGAUUUUGCUACUAUGCCUUUUUUGUUGUUUUUAAUAGAAUGAAAUAAACGAAACAAACCAUCAAUUGAUGAAAGAUAUUAUGAGAAAAUAAUAGGCUAAUGUUGACAAUCGAUUUUCUAUAUUUAUUUUUUAUUUCUAAUUUAGUCCAAAUUCCACGUGAGCGAUAACCUUCCAAAAUUCAAUCUUGUUGCUAAAAAUUCGAUUUUUUUCGAGUGCUAGCCACGUACGAGAUGUGCUUCAACGUCUUGAUCAACGGUGCCAUCCCCAAUACCAUCAACCUCCACUUGAACUGCCGCACCAUUUUCAUGAUCCUCCACCACAAUGGCUCACUAUAAAAAUAUGAAUUUUUUUCUUUUGAGAAGAUAAAAUAUAAUUAUUUUUUAUUUCUUUAUCUCAAAUAAAAUAAAAGAAGAAAGAAAAAGAAAAAGAAAGAAAGAAAAAAUAAAAAAAUAAAUAAAAGAAAGGAUGAAAGAAGAUAAAAGAAGAAGAACAAAAAGAAAGAAAGGAACUACGGAAGGAGGGGCGAAGUAGGGAUGGUGUCCACCCAAACAUUUGACCGGAACCACUGCAAGAACGGGGAUGGACCAGUAAUAUUGGAUUUCCAUUACGUGAGGCGGUGCGGCCGUGGUGCCUGGUUUGGCGUCAAGACCGUGUCCUUGCCGACGACUUGCAAGGUGUGCUUGAUGUUUACCCUCCGUCUUUCCACGUUCCUUCCAAUGUUAGAAUGUCACAUCAAGCCAACCGUUUUCGAAGGCAACCUAAAACGCGUAUCUGCCAUUAACCUGUUUGAGUUUUUUCCACAUACUAAUCUGAGAGUACACUUCAAGCACUUUAGCUGACAUCCAGAACACAACCUUACAUCUGUUACAUCAAAUCAAAUAAUUUAAUCUCCAAUUUACAGUCAAAAUACUUCAUAAUAGUUUUGGAUCUUACCUUUCCGGGAAAAAAAAACUGUCAUUUUUUUUUGGCGUGUGGAGUGAAUUGAAAGUUGGGCAGCAGUCCAUGUUUCCAACCUGCUAGCGUUUGGUGUCUUGGUACCUCCGAACCAGAGCCGUUACUUUAUCUUUAUUAAUUAAUUCGGCUACAAAUCAACGUGCUUUCUAAGUUUCAAUCCAAAGAAGAAAGCAAUCAUAGUCUUAGAAUGAGUGCAGCAUCCUGCCAUGUGCCAUCGGUGGGCGUGUCCUUAAAUACGGUCAGAUCCUCUCCAUCUAAGCCCACCAUUUCCGGAGAUUAGAUGCGGCAAAUCCAACCUUAACCUAGGAUUUUCCCCAAGCAUGAGCCACAAACCAAGGACCUCCUGCAAUUGCGCCACCAAAAUAGAAGGUAUUCCUACUCACAAAUCGUCAGACUAAUUAAGCAAAGGAAGUUAAUCCAGCUUUCUUUUUUAAAUAACCGAAUUUAUAACAGAUCUCUCUUAUUUAUAAAAUAUUAAAUUAAUAUUUUUUGAAUAAACUAUUUAUUAUUUUUUUGGUACAAUAGUUGCUUAUGUUAAUCAAGCAUGAAUGCAACCAACUGAGUCAAGAUACAACAUAUAGCAUAAAGAUGGGAUACAAUAUUUAGUCCAUAUCUAUUAAACCUUAUGGUACUCAUUGUAACUUUGGACACGAAAGGUNNNNNNNNNNNNNNNNNNNNNNNNNNNNNNNNNNNNNNNNNNNNNNNNNNNNNNNNNNNNNNNNNNNNNNNNNNNNNNNNNNNNNNNNNNNNNNNNNNNNNNNNNNNNNNNNNNNNNNNNNNNNNNNNNNNNNNNNNNNNNNNNNNNNNNNNNNNNNNNNNNNNNNNNNNNNNNNNNNNNNNNNNNNNNNNNNNNNNNNNNNNNNNNNNNNNNNNNNNNNNNNNNNNNNNNNNNNNNNNNNNNNNNNNNNNNNNNNNNNNNNNNNNNNNNNNNNNNNNNNNNNNNNNNNNNNNNNNNNNNNNNNNNNNNNNNNNNNNNNNNNNNNNNNNNNNNNNNNNNNNNNNNNNNNNNNNNNNNNNNNNNNNNNNNNNNNNNNNNNNNNNNNNNNNNNNNNNNNNNNNNNNNNNNNNNNNNNNNNNNNNNNNNNNNNNNNNNNNNNNNNNNNNNNNNNNNNNNNNNNNNNNNNNNNNNNNNNNNNNNNNNNNNNNNNNNNNNNNNNNNNNNNNNNNNNNNNNNNNNNNNNNNNNNNNNNNNNNNNNNNNNNNNNNNNNNNNNNNNNNNNNNNNNNNNNNNNNNNNNNNNNNNNNNNNNNNNNNNNNNNNNNNNNNNNNNNNNNNNNNNNNNNNNNNNNNNNNNNNNNNNCUUUUUUGUCGAGGUUUCUUGCUAUAUUUUCUUUGAAAGGGCUCUUUUUGUUUGAGGAGAUGGGAUCUUUGGCUUGAAUUCGGUCAGAUCUGAUUGGUAUGAAUGGGAGGAACGAAAUCUUUGUCCUAAAAAGGAAAUAAGGAAUCGGAUCUGAUCGCAUUGCCUUCUAUUUACUUACUGUUGUAAAGAAUGGAAGUCUGACUGUUGUGUGGCAAUGUUGUUUCCAUGCUGCGCUCAUGCUCUGAGAGUUUCCCCUAAGAUUUCUCAAUUAGAUAUUUGUGGUUGGUCAAUCUAAUCAGUGGGGUCUCAUUUUUUUCAUAUUCCAGACGCAUAAUAAAAAUUGGUACUUGCUCUUACUUGAGAAAUUACAAGAAGACCAAUUGAGGGUUGAUCUGGACUCAAGUGCCCUCAUUGCCUUCAAUAUUCUUAGUUCUAUAUUAAGAUAAAAGAUGAAGAAAUUCCUUGCUAACUAAAGCAUUCUUAGAUCUAUAUGAAGAUACUCUUCAAGAACUGUUUAAUUCCUGAAAAAAAGCAUCCUGGGUUUGCUGGCUUAUUCUUACCCAUUUAACUAUUUCAUCAUUCCUUAUUAUUAAAAGUUUUGCCUUUUCUUUGCUGCAAAUGUAAUAGUGCCUCUUGAUAUUGCUGAUCCGCUUGCAAAACAAACAAUUUCAAUUUCGCUUUCUUUUUUUUCUUUUGGUUUGCAGUAUUGAUAUAGGAAAAGGAAAGAGGACAGAUGGCAUCAUAUGAGCCCAAGAACAUCCUCAUCACUGGGGCAGCUGGCUUCAUUGCAUCGCAUGUCGCCAACCGCCUCAUCCGAAACUACCCUGAGUACAAGAUUGUGGUUCUCGACAAGCUCGACUACUGCUCGAACCUUAAAAACCUCAAUCCAUCCCGCUCCUCUCCCAAUUUCAAGUUCGUCAAGGGUGACAUUGGCAGUGUCGACCUCGUCAACUACCUCCUCAUCACUGAGUCCAUUGAUACCAUCAUGCAUUUUGCCGCCCAGACCCAUGUCGACAAUUCCUUUGGCAACUCAUUUGAGUUCACCAAGAAUAAUAUCUAUGGAACCCACGUUCUCCUUGAGGCUUGCAAGGUCACUGGUCAGAUCAGGAGGUUUAUCCAUGUUAGUACUGAUGAGGUUUAUGGAGAGACCGAUGAGGAUGCUGUGGUUGGAAAUCAUGAGGCAUCUCAGCUCCUUCCAACAAACCCAUAUUCAGCGACAAAAGCUGGGGCGGAGAUGCUUGUUAUGGCUUAUGGAAGGUCAUAUGGUCUGCCAGUGAUAACUACCCGAGGAAACAAUGUGUACGGGCCAAAUCAAUUUCCAGAGAAGCUCAUUCCAAAAUUUAUCCUUUUGGCUAUGAGAGGGCUGCCACUUCCGAUUCAUGGUGAUGGUUCUAAUGUUCGAAGCUAUCUAUAUUGCGAGGAUGUUGCUGAGGCUUUUGAAGUUAUUCUUCACAAAGGAGAGGUUGGGCAUGUUUAUAAUAUUGGGACUAAGAAAGAGAGGAGAGUGAUUGAUGUAGCAAUGGAUGUCUGUAAACUUUGCUCACUGGACCCAGAUACAGUUAUCAAGUUUGUAGAGAACAGGCCCUUCAAUGACCAGAGGUACUUUUUGGAUGAUCAGAAACUGAAGAACUUGGGUUGGUCAGAGCGGACCCCUUGGGAAGAAGGGCUGAAGAAGACAAUGGAGUGGUACACAAGCAACCCUGGUUGGUGGGGGGAUGUGUCUGGUGCUCUUGUGCCUCAUCCAAGGAUGCUGAUGAUGCCUGGGAUUGAAAGAUAUAUUGAUGGGUCCGAAGAGGUGAAGGGCAUGGUUUCUCAGUUCACCAAUAAUCAGAGCAGGAUGGUGGUUCCUGUUUCAAAGGGUAUUAGUGGCUCUCCUCGGAAGCAUUCUUUGAAGUUCUUGAUAUAUGGCAGGACUGGAUGGAUUGGAGGCCUUCUAGGAAAGAUUUGCGAGAAGCAAGGGAUACCAUUUGAGUAUGGAAGAGGACGUCUCGAAGAGCGCUCUCAGCUCAUUCUGGAUAUUCAGAAUGUGAAGCCAACUCAUGUUUUCAAUGCUGCUGGUGUGACUGGCAGACCAAAUGUUGACUGGUGCGAAUCUCACAAGACAGAGACAAUUCGCACCAAUGUUGUGGGCACUUUGACCCUAGCAGAUGUUUGCAGGGAGCAUGGCUUGUUAUUGAUGAAUUAUGCUACUGGGUGUAUAUUCGAGUAUGAUGCUGGACACCCUCAAGGAUCGGGUAUUGGAUUCAAGGAGGAAGAUAAACCAAACUUUACUGGCUCUUUCUAUUCGAAGACUAAGGCAAUGGUAACUUCUUGCUUUCUGUCAACGAAAAUGUCUUUUUACCUACUCUAUUAUGAAAACUCUAGAACUUAAAAGCUGAUAUGUUCGUUAUGUUGUUGCAAAAUGCAGGUUGAGGAGCUUUUGAAAGAAUAUGAAAAUGUCUGCACUCUUAGAGUUCGAAUGCCAAUAUCUUCUGACCUCAGCAAUCCUCGCAACUUCAUUACAAAAAUAACUCGUUACAGCAAAGUGGUGAACAUUCCGAACAGCAUGACAAUCUUAGAUGAGCUUCUUCCCAUAUCAGUUGAGAUGGCCAAAAGAAAUUGCAGGGGCAUAUGGAACUUCACUAAUCCUGGUGCUGUAAGCCAUAAUGAGAUCCUGGAGAUGUACAAAAAAUAUAUGGAUCCUAGUUUUGCAUGGGUCAACUUUACUCUGGAAGAGCAGGCCAAA